AAAUUCAAAUCAGGGCAAAAUUAUCAUAAAGGUCCAAAAGUUUUUUUUUUAAUUUGAAAAAAAUAUUAAGCAAUUAGACUUCAAAUUUAGAAUCGUGAACGCCAACUAUCAAGUCUUUUGUAACCUGCAUUAUGGACGUUCGAGAUAAUAGGUCCAGAAGUUAAGUUGGCUCAAAGCAGAUUUGGAUUCAGAUGCGGGCAUCAAUCGCAAUACAGAUCAAUUUCCCUAAACCCAACUCGGAAUCCAAAGGUUGGUGGACUCUGCAUUAUGUUAUAGUAGCUCAAGUACUUAAGGGACCACUUAUCCAUCAACUCCAUUAACACCCCCAGUGCCUAUUUGUCUACAUCUCUGUUCUAUUUUUAGCAGCAAUCAUCUCUAGUAGAUAGUUCGGCAAAUGUAGAGUCCUAAAAUUUCUACAGCACUAGAAAAAAAAAGGCAAAACGUUCUAAUUCGAAACUUCUAUGGUGUAAAUAACGGAUAUAAUUAUUCAGUGAUAACUAAAAUAGAGAAUUGUUCCUACAUGGCUUGUAACUUCAUUAUCGAUGCAGGACAGAGAGACUUGACGUACGUACACUUAUGGAGCUUACGAACUCCGAUUAAAAUCAAAAUUUUCAUUUGGAUUCUGCUCCGUAAAAGACUACUUCUGCGUUACAUCCUCUGAAAGUUGUGACCAUCUCUUCUACAACUGUGUAUUCAUCAGAUACUUUCUUUUCAGUGAGGGAAGCUCUGACGCAUCCGACUACGGGGCAAGCAAUGUGCGAUGCCUAUGGUCAAACACUUCUAGCACCCCUGACGCUACGAGGAGAACGAAACACCUAACCAGCUUGGCGGCAAUCUGGUGGGUCAUCUGAACGGAACGUAACAAUACUAUCUUCUGCGAGUACUCACCCAAUGCUACCAGGGCGCUCGAGCGCAUAAAUAGCUUGACAAAUGACUGGACAUUCCUGCCUUGAUGUUUUUCGGGAUUGACUUGUCAUCUUUCUCUUCCUGUGCUGGGUCUUACCUAUCCUACUAGCCUUCUCUUCUUACUUCAUUUUUCACUUUCUUGCUUUUUUCAUAACUAUUUUUCUGCUUUCUUCAGGAGACCUUAGCUGUUUCCAUAAUGUAUACUUAGUUUAUUUUACUUAAUGAAUGAAGUAGAUAGCUCGCUACUUAUUUCUCAAAAAAAAUGUUCUCAACUUCUUUUGUAGGCAAAGUAUAAAUCUGAAAAACCAGAAAAAAAAAAAGAAGAAGGAAAGAAAAAAAAGCAGCACACAUGAAAUUGAAAUCUCUCUCUUGUGACAGAGGUUACAGAGACAACAGUGAGCAUCUCUUUUACAGACUUUACACAAAAGGUAAACUACCAGAGAUACUUGAAGCAAGGAGCACUCAUUGUACUCACAUUGGGUAACACUGUGUAAAAUAAAAAAUUAAAAAAAUAAUAGAAAAAAAGGUCCCCAUUACUAACUACACCCACAAUGUUACCCACAAGUCCCCACCCCUACUGUUUACAGCGUUCCUAGGGCCCAGUUGUGGGUGCACUGUGUGGGUGCAUUAGAGAAUGGUGCAGUGAGUGUGUGGGGCAUUGUAAAAUCCGUAGAUUCUUAGUGAGGCCACUUGAUUGGUUCCCUCCAAAGGAAACGUUCAUUCACUCUCAUAAGGCUACAAAAUCUAAGAGAGGUGAAUGUGCAUAGCAUAGCCUCUCCCAAUCCCAGAUUUUAGAAACUAUAAAUGCUGCAGGUAUCUCAUAAGAUACCCCAAAACUGUAGUAGUAAUCUUGUGUUAGGUUGCAUUUGAAAUUGUGGGUAGAGCUUAGAUAGAUACAAUGUUCUAUUUUGUAUGAAAAUAUCACAUUUAUUUCUGUAAGCGAUAACAUGUUGUAUAUGUAUAUCGUUUUAAUUCAUUUAUAAUAUAAUUUAUAUGGCACCGUCGGGGCAAUGUUAAUGAAUUUAUAUUUUUAUCUGUUUUUGUCUUAAUUUUAUUUUAUCUAAUAACACUUGAAUGCCCUCGAUACCAAAUGCAGACUUUUUAAUUUUAAGGGCAAUGAAUACUCAAAUGCAAAAAAAAAAGUAUAGAUAACAUGGAGAGGGUUUCUCCAUCCUUUAUUAUGGUAAAUCAAUUAAUAGGAUUUCGAAAGUAUUUUGCUGUACCGAUAGCAUAAAGUUAUAGUUUAGGCUAAGUUACACUCUCAGUCCUCAAACUAUGAGGUGCGUGACCCUUUAAUCCUAAAACUUUAAUUUAUUAUAAGCUUUAGCUUAAAUUUUUUGAAUUAUUGGGUUUAAAUUCUACAAAUUAAUUUAAUUGACUAAAUAUUAAUAUGUCGCUAAUAUGAAAAUAAUAUAGUAAUAUUGAGAUUGAAAAUCGUAACAAUAAUUAGAAUGUCACGUCAUUUUUAUAUUAGUGAUAGAUUAAUAUUUAUCCUAUAUAAAAUUUGAUUUUAACAACAAUUUAGCGUGUAAUUUAUAAAGUAAAUACCUAACUGGGUCCAGUAAAUCAUGACCGGGACCAGAAACGGUCACCGGCGCACCUGCGGUGAGCGGACCCGGCCGCAACCGCGACUCGCGUUCAAAUUUUGAACGCGAUUCGCGUCGGCGAAAGCGCGGCUCGAGCCCAAACCCGCCCCCAACACCCGCUUCGGGUUCCAGCCACUCACAGCACGCCACGUGGGAGUUAUGACGCGCCAACUCGGCCGCCGCAGCGGAAAGCGACUCGGGCCGGCCCUCCACUCCACGUCGGCUGCCCCGUUUUUACCCGGUAAAACCACUUUCCCGAAAAUGCCCUCGACGAAUCCCGAAUAUUACGCCCCUGCCCUCCGAAAGCGUCGGCUCGGCGUGGCGACCGAUGCGACCCGGACCGGACCCCCUUCCGCGUCGCUUCGCCCACACGGAAGGAACCCGGUCCCCGGUUUUUUUUUCCUUUUAUUCAUAUAUAUUUUUUCCCGGGCGUAUUUCGGUAAAUUCACAUGCCGGGGGGUGAGUCCGGGUCAAUUUUGACGCGCGAGCGGAUUCCUGUUCCGACGCUCGCGUGUAAGCUACAACACAAAAAAUAAAAGUAAAUAAAAAUUAAAAUAAAGAGGAAACUAAUGCUUAAAUAAAUCUUAAAAAUAAUUUUGUUUCUAUUUGUGUGAGAAAAUGGAUUUAAAAUAAUAGCCCGAAAAUAAUGUUUAAAUAAAUUAUUUGGUCUCAUAAUUGCGAUGUGACUACGUAAUUGCGUGGGCUCGUGAUGGUAACAUGCACCCAACAAAUGGGUGGGUAUGUUUUGAGUGAGGUUCCCUUGAUUUAAAAAUAAUUUUUUUUUUAAUAUUUAAAAGUUCAAACCGAAAUUAAGAUAAGAAAGAAUUUAAGUUCAGUUUAAUUGUGAGAACAUCCAAAGACAUGAUACAAUGUAUGUAGUAUAUGGAGCAGUUUUUUUUUUUUUCCAAAGGUGGUGAGAAACGCCAAGUUUGUUCUGAUUUUUAAGAUAUGAAAAGAAGGUAAUUAAUUAAAACCCCAAAUUAAUCCCACAUCCUUUGUAUUAUUUUUGGCUAGUGUAUCUUGGUAUUUGAUGAGGUAUUGGGUACAGCGAAGGGGAGCGUAUCAUGUAAAGAUGGUGGGAGAUACAAUACAAUUUCUCCUUCGAAGCGAAUCCUUUUACUUUUAAAAGCAGAGAGAGAGAGAGAGAGAGAGAGAGUGAAUAGAUUAAAUAAUAAGUAAAGGGAAGGGUUAAUUUCAUUUUGUAAUAAAUUAGAAAAGGGAAUUAAUAUAGUGGGGUAGUAGUAAUAGAGGAAGGGAAAGAGAGGUAUGGGGAGGUGGAACAGAGCAUUUGUUACGCCCACGGACUUUGGCAGCCAUUCAAUGCUCCACCAAACGCUCAUCCCUUCCUCCUCCUCUUCCUCCUCCUCCGCCUCUCUCUUUCCCUUCUCUUCUCCAUCCUCACCUCUUCCUCUCCCUCUUCGGCUUCUUCGUCACCCCCCUCCUCCUCCUACUCCUCCUCCCAUGGUGUACUCCUCAUCACAGGUAAGGGGCGAGAGAGAAACUCAGAGAAAAGGAAAAAAGAAGCGCUUUUUUUGAGGGAGGGAGUAAAGAGAAAGAUGGAAUCUUUCUCUCUCUCUCUCUCUCUCCUUUUUUUUUUUUUCUUCUGGGUCUGUGUUAUAUCAUAGAGAGGUUGGGUUAUUGGGUUUGCGCAGGUGGUGGAGAAGGAGACGAAUAUGGAGCUUUUGAGUUCUUGCAGGGGGGAAGUGGCUUCUUUGCAGCAGCAGCAGCAGCAGCAGCAGGGUUUUGGGGUUGCGGAGGAAGGGGGGUUCAUGGAAAGGGCGAACUUCGUGGUGGAAGGGUUCUCGGUGGACGAGCUUCUCGACCUCGGAGAAUUCGCCGAGCCCGAGCAAGACGAAGAAGAAGCAGAAGCGGAAACGGUAGAAGCGCUGGAAGCGGAAGCGGGGUGUGGGGAAACGGAGCUCCACACGGAGAGCUCCAAUUCGGGCUCUUUAAUUAACUCCUCCGUUUCCACUUCCCCUCUCCCCUUCGACCCGCCCCCACCCUCCGAUGAUUUCCUCCCGGUAAAUAUUUACAAGUAAACAAGAAGAAGAAGAAAAAGUGGCAAUUUCGCGUCAAAAAUUUUCUCCUUUUUUCUUUUCAAAGUUCAAAGUUGUAAUUUUUUUUUUGUUUGUUUUUUCUCCCACCCCUGUUUUCUUACUUUAGGAGCAUGAUGCGAAGGAGUUCGAAUGGGUUUCUUUGUUGAUGGACGACACGCUCUCGGAGAUGCCACCGCCGUGCGCGGCGGCGCCGCCUAGGCCGGCUGCAGCUGCGGCGGUGCCGAGCCCUACCGUGUGCGCGCUCGCCACGGAGGCCUUCGCCCCGGUGAAGGCCAAGCGGAGCAAGCGCUCGCGCGGCGGCGGUGGCGGCAGCGGGGGCGGCGGUGGGGCGGCGUGGUCCCUCUCCUCAAGCGGCGGCGGCGGCGGCUCCUCGUCCGCCCCCUUCUCCGACUCUUCUUCUUCGUCGUCCUCCACCACGACCUCCACCGCCACCACGACCUCGUCGUGCUCGUCCUCGCCGCCCUUAUCCUCCCUCCUCGUCUACGACCUCCCCCUCGUCGGCGCCUCCUCCGACCCGGGCCUCUUCCUCCUCCACGACUCCUCCGACUCCGACAACCCCCCUCUCCUCCCCCCUCCCCCCCGAAAGCUAAAGCUCUCGCCCCCAAACAACAACAACAUCAACAACAACAACAACAACAACAACAACAGCAAGCAGAAGCCCAAAAAGAAGCGCGGCCGCAAACCCAAACACCACCACCACAACCACCACAAGUACCAGCAGCACCAAGGGCUGCCUCCUCCUCCUCCUCCGGCCUCCCAAAUUCCCGCCGCCGGCGAGCGGCGGUGCAGCCACUGCGGCGUGCAGAAGACCCCGCAGUGGCGCGCGGGGCCCGAGGGCGCCAAGACUCUCUGCAACGCCUGCGGCGUCCGCUACAAGUCCGGCCGCCUCCUCCCCGAGUACCGCCCCGCCUGCAGCCCCACCUUCGUCUCCGACGUCCACUCCAACUCCCACCGCAAAGUCCUCGAAAUGCGCCGCAAGAAGGAGGCCGCCAUCCUCCUCCCCUCCGUCCCCGCCGCCGCCCCCCUCCCCGUCCCUUCCUUCUAAACCACCGCCUCCGAAAAAACGCCGCACCCUUCGCUCGGCAAUGUAAAUUAUGCACCAAAAACAUCUCUUUUCCUUUUCUUUUUUCUUUUUUCUUUUUUCUUUUUUUUCCUCCGCGGACUUAAUUUUUCUCGAAUUUAAUUAGAAGAGGCGGUAGGAAUUAGGAAUUUAGCCUUUGCGCCUUCUCUCUGCUUUUGUAGCGGUUUUAUUUUAGUCAUUUAUUCGUCGACCUUCAAGAGAGAAUAGAAUUAGAUUAGAUUAGAUUCGAGAGGAGUUUAACUGGUUCCAUUUUUCUCAGGGGAUAGAAGAGAGAAAGGCAAAUUUAUUAUUAUAUACAUAGAUAUAGCGUAGGCAUAAUUGGAGAUAUAUAUAUAUAUAUAUAUCUGUGUAAUGUAUAACUUUUAUGCAGUUGUGUGGGGUGUUUUUUUUUUUAAUUUUAUUUUAUUUUUGUAGUUGGUUAGUGAGAGGUAUGCGUCCAAUGAAAUUUGCACUCGGCCUCUUCUUAUUUAUUCCUGCACAUUUUCUGCCUCUUCUUCAGGUACUGGGUCUUUUUUUUUUUUUUGUCCUUGUUGCUUAGCAGGUACACUACACCUCUCUCUCUCAUCUUCUUCCUCGUGUCCUCUUAGACGCAUAAAUAUUUUAUUUAGUAUAUUUUUUUAUUUAUUUUAAAACACUUAAAUUAUUACUAGAUUAUUUAUUCUGAUUUCCAAACAGCCCCAUUGGAUAGGAGAGUUUUUUUCUUAUUAAAUAUAUGUAUAUUAAUAUAUAUUAAUAUAAAUAUUGGAAAGAAAUAGGAGGAUUAUGGUGGAUUGAUGACACAAUUUCAACCCACCUCUAACCAAUUCCCACCAAACCUAAUGUGGGGGGGUGGAGAAGAGAGGGUGAGGUGGGGUUGGAAAGGAACAUGCAUGGGUGAGUGAGUUGGGUCAUGAGUAGUGAGUCUUUCUAAUUCUAUUUCUAUUGCUCCACACUGCUUAUGAUGCUUACCCCGCGUGUCCUCCCCCAAAACCCCACACUAAUUCUAUGAUAUCUUUCUCUCACCUAACUAAUCAUUUUUCCCACCACCUCCUUCCUCUCUCUCUCUCCCCCUCCCUCUUACCAUGUUCUUAAUAAUCUUACAAUUUUUUAUUCCAAUGCAUGGAAAAUUAAUCUUGUCAUAGCAUAAAAUAAUCGAAUUAUGGCCAUUUAUUUUGAUAAUAUUAAUUUCUUUCUAAUAACAGAAGAUUGAGUAAGAGAGAUUUGGAACUGUAUUGGCCUUGAUUUGAGUAAUAAAUAUGCAAGUUAUCCAAUUUAUUAUAUUAGGCCAAUGCAAUCAUGCCAAAUAUAAUAAAAAACUACUCUAAAUUAUUUUUAUUUGGACGGUGUUAUUUUAAUAUAAAAAAAAUCUAAGUUAUAGAAAAUACUUUCUCCUUAUCCGCGUCCUAAAUUGAUAAGAAUAUAUAUAUAUAUAUAUAUAUAUAUAUAUACAGAAGCAACCAAACCUCUUACAAGCCCUCACGUGCCCUGUGGGGACCACCUGUACUCACGUGACUGUCCUAUUUCAAAUAUUGGACACCAAACGCCUUUCCCUCCUCUUUCUUAUUUUAAUUGCUAAAUAAUGCGCGUCCGUCUUAAAAAAAUUAGCAUACUUUUAUUACUUUAGGAAACGCAAAAGUGCGGCUUAAUCUCACAACAGUAAUCAUGGAACAAAAUUGCCCGCCAAAUAAAAUGCACGAAUUUUGAAGUAAUACAGUAUGCGAUAUUCGCGUGUGUCAUUUGAAAGAUUAGCGACGUAACGCCGUAAUCAUUAGUUAGCACUGGGAAUUUUUAGGGAGGAGUGCUCUUCUUUUUUUUUUUUUUUCCUAACACAAGAGCAAUGCUAUUGCAGGAUUGAUAUGUAAAUGGCCGAAAGAUGUGUACGGCGUGGUGAUGGUGCUUCCUCCACCCCCUCUCUUCUUCUUCCUUUUUAUUUGCUUUUUGACUCCUUUCCCACAAACUCAGAAGAGAUCAAGUUUGUGUUAUUGCUAAUUAAAGUGAUUCUUUGUGUACAUGAUCAAGUGGAGUUUCUGUGGAAAGCGCUUGUCGCAACGUAGUUUGUUGCUUGAAGAAUGUGAAUAGUCUCGCGUAUAAUUUAAUAGAUAGCCUUUGUGGAACUUAGAAGCUAAGUGUGAUCGGAGCUAUCGGCGGAAUUCCAGAUGUUGUUAAACUCGAUCGGAUGGCUUCUGGCCUGUCGCUUAUGCUUCUUCUGUGAGUUGUUCGAAAUGCUAUUCUUCGGUUCAAAUAGCUUUUUUCGUCUGAAAGGUAGCUAAAGAUGCUGAUGUCGAUAGAUAUAUUUGUACUGGAGAUAGAAUAAGAAACUAGUAUGAAAAAGAAAGACGAUGAUGUUGAGUUCUUAGUAAAAACGUAUAAAAAUACAGAAGCUUUAGUCGGUCCAUAAUAGAGAAUAAAAAGGCACAUAAUGUUCUAUGGAGUGCAUUUGUACACAAUUUAUUGGCUGAUAUGCUACUUGUGGGUUGCUUACAAAUUACACUAGGGCCAUUAGGGAAGCAAAUAGAUCUCGGUUGAUGAAACUUCUGCUCCAAUUCGUUCGGAAUGGACAGUGAAUGGAGUCGAAAAAUAAGGAAAGCAUAUUAAUUCGUAUCAAAUACAUCUCGAACUGCUAAAAAAAGAGAGUGGAAGACGAGGUUCUUUUUUUUUUUUUUUUCUUGAUCUGAUUUGAUCCACUUCAAAUGAAGCGAUAAAGGUGCAUUUGUUUCACUAAAAAGUGGAGGGUAGUGAAGUGGUUUUCAACCGUAAGUAUCUACUUUAAUUGUUUGGUUCAUCACAACUUUAUAUACAGUUGAAACUCAAACUCUCUCAAAUACUAAAAUUAAUUUCACCCUAUUUUUGGUGAAAGUCAAUUGUGAAAAAAUAGUAUAAAAAAUAAUAAAAUAUUAACAUUUGGAAACUUCAGCUUUUACGCUAAUUACUUCCUGUCAAACAAACAGUAAAAAUGAAAGAAUUUCAAUUCCGCAGUUACAAAAAUCAACAAAAAAAAAUUAGUAAUUUUUUUUUUUCAAAUUUCUAGUUCAUCUGAAAUUUUAUUUCAACCUAUGCAUUGUGAAACAACCAUUAUACUCUAAAAGUUUAAGCUGUUAGAGAACAGUGUUUAAACAUUUUUAUAUUUAACACUCCCCCUCACGUCUGGACACGUCUGGACUCGAGAUUUUUUAGUCGGCCCAUGACGUGGGCUUGUAUUAAAUGGGAGAAAAUUAAUAUGCUAGGAGUCUGAUAUGACUCGAACUUAGGAUCUCCUGCUCUGAUACCAUGUGAAACAAUCGUUGUACUUAAAAAACGAUGUUUAAACAUUUUUAUAUUUAACACGCAUCUUCUUUAUAAGUAAAAUAAACAAAUCUUAAAGAGGGACAAAAAGUAAAAUAAAAAUCACUCCGUUUCAAAUCUGACCCGACCCACCAAGAGAACCGAGUGGGUGGUGCAAGACCCCUCCCGCCUCCGGACCCACCCUAUUUGCGUCGGCCUAAUCACAUCUUGCUUGUGUUUUUUUUAAAAAAAAUCUCUUGCUUUGGGUUAAGUGAGUGAUUUGGAUGCGAGAGAGAGAGAGAGAGAGAGAGAGAGAGAGAGAGGCGUGGGUGGUUGGGAUCUUCUUUUCGGGUGCGCACCCACCGCACCGCAGCGGACGCUGAAUGACGGGGCGAGGCAAAAGAGGACGCACCCACUCCCAUCCCACUCCCACCCCUCCCACGUGACUCUCUCCCAACCCAAAAAUUAAAUAAUAAUAAUAAUAAUUACGAGGAAAACGUCUCAUCAAAAAAUUUCAAAUCAUCCUCACAUAUUAAUUGAAAUAUUUUUAAAAUUUAAAAUUUUUAAUUUUAAUUUUAAAAAUUAUUUAAUAAAUUAGAGAUUUCUAACGAGACGUCGAUGAAAAGCUCACGCUGCAGUUUUAUCGGUGGGAAUCCAUCCUUUUUACAGGUUUUUUUUUUUUUUUUUUUUUUUUUUUUUUUUUUUUUUUUUUUUGGGGUAGGGUAACCAAUUAAUUCCUCGCCUCAAGUCCCACACGCUCCUGAGCCUCUCGUGAUUGUAAUUAAUUCGUUUUGGCUCCAAUACCAGUACUUCUUAGAAGCAGAGGUAAAAAGCACUUAAGUUUUGUGUGUGUGUGUGUGUGGGCGCGAAUCCAUUAUCAUUGCUUUUAGAAUCUGUUUACGUACGUUGAAAUUUUAUUACAGGGUCACUGUACAAUAUGGUACAUGUUCAAUAUGCUACAUGUUCGGUUAAUUUUCUACAUUUUGAUACAAACAAAUUCACCCACCGUUUCUAAUACAAGUGGCAAAAUAUUUAAUGGUUGGCAUCUAAAAUUUCUAGUUUAAAGUUUAGUUGAUUCAUAUUUUCUGCUAAGUUUAUUUUCAAAAGAAAUAAGUAAAACGGAUAAUAUGCUACUUUUUUUUCUAAAAAAAAAAACAAAUUUAAAGGUUCGAAGGCCAACAUGAUGGAUUUUUAUAGGUACGUAAAACAAAAAUAAAAUUAAAUACGUAUCAAAAUUCAGGAUCAUAAACAAAACUAAAAUAAAUCACAGAGCACCAUAGAGAAGAAAUUACUGAUUAAUUUGUGGAAGCGUGAAGUUUGGCUAUAAUCUUGAACGUCACCAACUGAAUUUGGUGUGAAACUGAUAGUAAUUCUUCAUUAUAAUAUUUAUGAAAAAAUGGCAGGACCAAUAUCAUUUUAUAUAGAGUUUAGAUCGACUUUCUAUCAAAAUUUGAUUAAAAUUUUAUUUAAUUUAAAUAGAUGAGAAAGAGAUAAGAUACACUAUAAAAUGUAAUUUUAUAUCUAUUAGGAUUAAUUUUUAUUUAUAAGAAAUAUAAAUUUAAAUAUGAUUAACUGGAUCAUAUUUAUAAAAAAAUUCUAAUACGACAAAUAUACAAUAUUUUUGAGAUAUUUUUGUUGCUACCAUACUUCAAAAUAAUAUGGAUCGUAACAUCACUUUGUAAAUGUAAAUACUAUUUUUUAUAAAACAACAACAGCAACAAAAAUCUCAAUAACAUAAAAUUAUAUAGCAUCCAAGUAGGCCCUUAUAUUUUGAAAGAUCAAAAAAAAAAAAAAAAAAAGAAGAAGCUUCUUUGGUUCUUCACUCGGCGCUAUCGUAACCGUGAAUAUAAAAGAUUGAAAAAACAAUCCAUUAAUUUAAGCUUUUAUACUAGUACUUAGAUAUUUUCUAAUAGAGUUGGUAGUGUGCUGAGUUCAAAUUUCGCAAAAUAUUUCAUACUUCGCCGGCGUACUUUUUAAACCUAUCAAAAUAUCUAGAGUCUUAGGGGUGGCAAUUCAACUCGCUGUUCGCGAGCCAACUCGUGUUUGAUUCAAAAUUAGCUCGAGAUUAAAUUGCUUGUUUAGUAAACGAGUCAAAUACGAGCUGAAUUUUUCAGCUCGUUUAAUAAACGAGCCGAAUACAAGCGGGCGCUAGUUCGCUCGUGUUUGACUCGAUAACAGCUUGAAGACAUAUAUAUAUAAUUUGAUUUUUAGCAAAAUCAAAAUAUAAAGACCAACUUAAUCAUAAAAAGAUUUAUUUAUAAACAAAGUUUCAACCAUUAAAUCAAAAUCUAAUGAAUAAGAUUUUAUAAAUUUAUUUUUCAUAUAUAUCAAAUCUAAUUCUUUUAACUUAUUGUUUAUUGGCCAGUUCGUGAGUCGGCUCAUGUUCAACUUAUUUAUUAACGAGCCGAACACGAUCUGAAUUUUUCAGCUCAAUACUUUAACGAAUUAGCUCGUGUUUGGCUCAUUUAAUAAACGAACCAAACACGAGCCAGCCCCAACUCGUUCGUGUUGAGCUCAUUGACACUCCUAGUAUGAGAUAUAGUGUUAAAUUCAACGUCGUCUAUUAUCUGAAAUUUUUACAAUAAUUAUUUAUGUUUACAUAAAGAUUAAAUAAUUAAUACCUGAAGUCCCAAAUUUGAAAUCUAGAAAUUUCAUAUUUCUAUUUUCUUUGCUUGACUUAUCAAUUUUUUUUUUCUGAAAUCCUAUAAAUCUAGAAAAAGUGGGUGUAAGACUUACCUGACUCUUUUGGUCAUGUGCAUGGCAUGUGCCCAAAAGCUUAGUACGGAUUUAUGUAAAAUUGCGAAAAAAUUAUAUUACGUACAGUAAAAAAAAAUACGAUAAAAAAAUAUUUUUAUUUUAGUCUAUAAUAUUAUAUUUAGUGUAUCACAAAAAUUUAUAUAUUUUUUAUGUUCUCAUGUACCAAAAGAUUUUUUUUUAGAGAGAAAGGUAGCAUGACACUUGCGCUAGGGACGGUCGGUCUCAUGUACCAAAAGUUAUGAAAGAAAUAUUUUGGUAAACUUCAAAUACUAUUCAUGUAGUUUCGCACUUUUUUAUUUUAUUAUCCUAUGUUUUAAAGUGUACUAAUUUACUGCCCUAUGGUUUUAUUUUUUUUUCUUUUCGUUAGCUUAUUCGUUAAUAUUUCGUUAAAUUAUAUAAACAAAAAAACCCUUAGAUUUAUCGAAUAUUUAAUUUAGUAUCCUUUAGUUUUAAUUUUAUUACUGAUUAAAAAAAAAUUAGUAAAAUUGAUAAGAAAAAAAAAUAAAACUACAGAAUAUUAAAUUAAUACNAUAUAUAUAUAUAUAUAAAAUUUGAUUUUUAGCAAAAUUAAAAUAUAAAGCCCAACUUAAUCAUAAAAAGAUUUAUUAUAUACAAAGUUUCAACCAUUAAAUCAAAAUCUAAUGGAUAAGAUUUUAUAAAUUUAUUUUUCAUAUAUAUCAAAUCUAAUUUUUUUAACUUGUUGUUCAUUGGCCAGUUCGUGAGUCGGCUCAUAUUCAACUUGUUUAUUAACGAGCCGAACACGAACUGAAUUUUUCAGCUCAAUACUUUAACGAGCUAGCUCGUGUUUGGCUCAUUUAAUAAACGAACCAAACACGAACCGGCUCCAACUCGUUCGUGUUGAGCUCAUUGACACUCCUAGUAUGAGAUAUAGUGUUAAAUUCAACGCCGUCUAUUAUCUGAAAUUUUUACAAUAAUUAUUUAUGUUUACAUAAAGGUUAAAUAAUUAAUACCUAAAGUCCCAAAUUUGAAAUCUAGAAAUUUCAUAUUCCUAUUUUCUUUACUUGACUUACCAAUUUUUUUUUUUCUGAAAUCCUAUAAAUCUAGAAAAAGUGGGUGUAAGACUUACCUGACUCUUUUGGUCAUGUGCAUGGCAUGUGCCCAAAAGCUUAGUACGGAUUUAUGUAAAAUUGCGAAAAAAUUAUAUUACGUACAGUAAAAAAAAAUAUGAUCAAAAAAUAUUUUUAUUUUAGUCUAUAAUAUUAUAUUCAGUGUAUCACAAAAAUUUAUAUAUUUUUUAUAUUCUCAUGUACCAAAAGAUUUUUUUUUUGAGAGAGAAAGGUAGCAUGAAACUUGAGCUAGGGACGGUCGGUCUUAUGUACCAAAAGUUAUGAAAGAAAUGUUUUGGUAAACUUCAAAUACUAUUCCUGUAGUUUCGCACUUUUUUAUUUUAUUAUCCUAUGAUUUAAAGUGUACUAAUUUAGUGCCCUAUGGUUUCAUUUUUUUUUCUUUUUGUUAGCUUAUUCGUUAAUAUUUCGUUAAAUUAUAUAAACAAAAAAACCUUAGAUUUAUCGAAUAUUUAAUUUAAUAUCCUUUAGUUUUAAUUUUAUUAUUGAUUAAAAAAAUUAGUAAAAUUGAUAAGAAAAAAAAAAUAAAACUACAGAAUAUUAAAUUAAUACAUUUUAAAUUAUAUAAUACUAAAAUGAAAAAAAAAAAUGUGAAAUCAUAAAAGUUGUAUUUGAACAUUUUUUAAAAUUUUUAUAUACUUUCCUUUGAACACUAUUUUUUAUAUUAGCAUUAAAAAAAAAAAAACUUCAAAUACCCCCUUGUGGUUUCACUCUUUCUCACUUUAGUACCAUGUAGUUUAAAGUGUAUCAAGUUAGUACCAUGUAGUUAUGCACCUUUUCACUUUAGUAUUCUGUGGUUUAAAAUGUACCCUUUGGUUUCGCAUUUUCUCACUUUAGUACCCUGUGGUUUCGCACUUUCUCACUUUAGUAACCACAGUAACUACAGGGUACUAAUUUGAUAUAAAAAUAAAAUUAUAUGGUACUAACUUGAUAUAUUUUAAACUAUAUAAUACUAAAAUAAAAAAAUAUAAAAUCACAAGAAGAGUUUUUGAAGUUUUUCCUUAAAAACAGUCUCCAUACCAGAUGGGAGGAAAAAUGAUAAAUGAGAAUCCCACGCAAAGGUCACGUGAAUUACUGGUGCUUAAUUUGUACUAUCGUACUUGGUCCAAAUUAAUUAAAAACUACGACUUACACAUUGUGCCAUACUACUCGGCCUAACCUCUUUGACAAUGUACGAACAUAAUUUUAUUUGUCAUAUACAGUAGGAUAAAUUAUAUGUUUUGUUCUCAAAUUAAAAAAUAAAGGCUAAAUUACAUAAAAUUUUUCUAUCAAAAUUUAAUUUUUCACUUUUCAUCCCUGUCAUUUAAAAACCUAUACUUUACCCUUUUGUAAAAUAAAAAAUAUUCACAGGGGGUACAGUGUGUAAAAUGAUCAUUUUAUCUCUUACCAUUUUCGUCUCCUCCAUUAUCUUACUCAACCGCCGCCUCGAUCGGUCGCGAUUCACACCUCGAUCGGCCGUGAUUUCUCUCCAUUUUCUUUUCCGCCUACUCCCCUUCUCCUCCUGCACCCUCGCCGUCCCUCGAUUUCGGUGACAGUAGGAAGGAAAUCGAGGUGAGCGUUGAUGGAGAGAUAGGCGAGGGCAACGAGGGCUAAGGCGAGGCGGCGGAGGAGGGCAAAGGGGAUGUGGACGAUGGCGAGGCAGUGGAGGAGGGCGAGGCGGCGAGGCGGCAACCCGGAAGGAGGCGAAGCAAUAGGGAAGAGGACGGAAGGGUAUUUUUAACAUAAAAAAAAAAAUUCUAAUGGAACCCUAACGGUAAGGGAUGAAAGUGCACAUUUUUCAUUUUAUAAGGGAGCAAAGUAUAGGUUUUUAAAUGACAGGGGGGAAAGUGAAAAAUCAGAUUUUGACGGGAGAAUUUUUUAUAAUUUAGGCAAAAAUAAAUGAUAUUUUAGUUCUUAAAUUUUAUUUUUAAUUCAAAAUUUUAAAAUUAUUACAAUCAAAUCCUGCAAUUUAAUUUAACUAACUAAAUUUUAACAUAUCUCUAAAAAUAAUAUAAUAUUUUAAUUAUUGACACAUUAUCAAUUACGACAUUAAUUGCUAUAUUAUACCUAUAUUUGUAAUAUAUUAUUAAUAUUUUAUCAACUAAAUUGACUUAUAAAAUUUAAUUAUAAUAAUUUUAAAAGUUUAAAUAGAAAAUUAUAAUAAUAAAUUAAAAUUUAAGGACAAAAAUAUUCUCAGAUUACACGCAUACUCACUUCAUGUGCUGAUAAAUUAUUUAACGAGUGUACAAACUAAUGGACGAGGAGCUGUGAACAAACCGCGUCCUUAAUAAGAAAAAAAGAUAAUAUUUAAUAUAUUUUUUAAAAGAUUAAAAAUAUUUAAUAUAUUUCUGGUUGACCAAAUAUUCUUAUUGAUUUUUAAAAAAAAUUUCAAAUAUUUAAAAUUUUUUCAAAUUUACUAAUAAGUUUUGAAUUUAAAAGAAUAUUUUGAUAAUUUUAUAAUAAAUUUAAAAAUUUUGAAUAGCGGUAAAAAAAAUAAAUAAGCAAGGUUUCAAAAAAAGUGUAUAUGAAUAUACAUUUUGAAAAUUUCAAAAUAAAAAGAUAAAAAAAAAAAAAGUGCGCGUGUACGCGCCCAUCGAUCGUUUUCCAACCGGGUCAAAGGGUGGCCCAUGGUGCGUGUCCACAAUGGCAAUUGUUACGUCUCCGUGGGUCCCACAAGUAAACGGACCUCUUAUAAUUUUCCCUUUUUUUUUAUUUUCAAAAUCUAGGAUUUGUGGUCCUAAGAUUAUGCAUAGCUACUGAUUAUUGCUACAAUCACGGACCAUCCUAUUAUUUGAAAAAAUUAUUGCUCGCGCCAUAUAACAUACAUACAUACAUACAUACAUUUAAUACACCGUAUUCUAAAUCUUUACCAUAAAUAAUAAAAUUUAAACAUGUAUGCAUUGCAAAUACAAUAAUAUUUUCUUUUAUAUUGUUUAUUUUAGGAUAAUUUGAUAUGUGAAUAAUAGAAUUUGAAAAUUGUUAGAUGACACAAACAGAUCAUAUUUAUCGAAUUAGAUUUUAAUAUUAAAAUAUUUAGUACCCGAUAUUGAGCUCGUGGUGCGUGAGUUGUACAGUUACACCAAGUGUAGGCAAUAAUUUCUUGCUGCUGUUAACCGCCCCAUCAGCGUGGACCACGUGUGCGCUCAUAUCUUUGUCCCGUGAAAAGGAUAAGGACUCCACAAAUUAUAUUUUUUAUAUGUGGUUAAAAAUUUAGAAAUUGGAAUACAAAUAUUUUCGAAGGUGAUAUAUUGGUUCUUAAAUUUUAAUUUAUUAUAAUUUUUCGUUUUAAAUUUUUAGAUUUUUACAAUUAAAUAUCACAGUAUAAUUUAAUUGGUUGAAUGGUGGUGUAUUGCUGAAGCAAUAGUAAUAUGACAUUUUAGCUAUUGUCAUCUCAUCAAUCACUAUACUGCUACAUAACUGCCGCAACAGCAACACGUAAUCGUUCAAUCAAUUAAAUUAUACUAUGAUUCAAUUACAAUAAUCUAAAAAUAAAUAAAUAAUAAAUUAUAAUAAAUUAAAAUUUGAAUAUCAAAAGUAUAAUUCAGCGGAUAAGUAAUUAUGUAUACAAAAGAUUCAGAGAUUCUUAUAUAUUGUUUUGACUCUACGGUUUCAAAGACCUUUUUUUUCAUGUUUUUUUUUUUGUUUUGUGGAAAAUUGUAUGUGAGAAAUGGCAUCGGUGCAAGUGUAACAGAAAGAGGGAGAAAAAUGAUGAGAACGGGACACUCCUGCCGGCUGGAAUGUCAUGCGUAAUCGGGGCGUAGCUUUCUGCAGUCGGUUUCCCUGAUGUCAACCUCUACAGCUGUUGUGUUGAAGGCAGUCAGUAUUUCAAAUUGGAAAGGCUUUACACAUGCAUCAAGGAAUUUUUUUAACUUUGUUUGGGUUUACUUCCACUACCUUUCUCCAAUCUUUACGUGUAUACAUAAUUAUUAUUUUUUAUUUUUUCUUUUUUUUUUUAGAGAAAGGUAGCACGCUACUUACUUUGCUUCAUUCAUUAGGCAAAUAAAUUUGGCUACAAAAGGUGAGGCAGCUAGGACCUCAAAGAGUGACAAAAUUAAAGACAGAGAAACUCUAAAAAUGUCUGAAAAGAGCUAAAAAGAGCACAAAGUCAAACAAAUAAACGGCCUCACCCACGUCUAUAAAAAUCGGUCCACUCCUUUGCCAGUACACUAAUACGAUGUGCCAUAGAGGUAGCGAAAAUCUAUUCUCAUCAAUUUUUAUUAUUAUUUUUUCCCUUGUUAUUAGAUUCCAAUUGGUAAAUUUUGAUAGAAUCAACUGUAUCCACUCUAGUAAAUUAAGUUUUGUCUCCUUAUACAGACUACGAUUAUACUAUGAAAACUUAAGUAUUUGAAGAGUUUGAUUGCAUGUCCAACUCGAUGUCAAGACUUUUGGAUGCUCCAAAGAAGUCGAUAUAUAGGCAUAGAAUUUUGAGAGUGGUGAGAUUGGACAAGCAAUGGACACACAUAUGGGAGGAGAGGUUAGGAAUCGCAGUUCAAAAAAUGGGUAAAGGGACCGAUCGUCUUUAGCGCAAGUGGCAAAAGGCUUGGUAGUUGGUACCUGAGGCCCCAAGUUCGAAAUCCAGUUAAUUCACAUUUUCAGUUAAGUUUAUUUCUUAAUGAAAUAAACGAAGCGGGUAGCAUACUAUCUAUUUUUCUCUCUCUCUCAAAAAAAAAGGGUAAAGGUAAUUAAGGAGGUAUAGUGCAAUUAAUCCUAAAGAUUACUAAACUAAAACAAAAAAGCAGAAAAAAGAAAGAAAGAAAGAAAAGGAAUUGGAGACCAAAAUGAAAAAUCGGAUAAAUGUUAUGAACCAGCCAUCACUAUCUAGAAUGGUUAAUUAGCAUUAUGUUUACCGAAAAAACAAGAACGGAUUCAAAGUCUAUUUUAUACAAUUAAUGUCAAAAGAAUUAUUCAGCGAUAGCUUGGAUAUUAUAAACAUUUAUUUUAUGUGAUUACAAGCUAGUUGUUUAAUUUUACCUCCUUCGAAUAUCUUUCUACUCAUCAUUUGGACGGAACAGGUAGAAUAAUAUAAUUUUACUAAGAGAUAAUUUAAUUACUUUAUUUUGAAAAACUAAUUUAAAGACCAGAUAUGGUAUAUUUUUCGGGCAUUUGAUUAUGGUCAUUUUCUGCCAAGUACUAUGAAUUUUUUAAAUAAAUUAAAGAGAGAUACUGAGCAAAAUAUUUUAUGCCCUCAAGCAAGAUCUGCAUAAACCAAUGUAUGCAUGUUUGUGCCAUCAUAAAAGAGAGAGAAAGAAAAAGAGAAGGUAUUAGAUAAAUAUAUGAAAAAAUCUUCAGAUCAUGGAUGGGAGAACUCCUAAUAAUUUUUCAUCCACUUCCAUACACUUUCACAUCGACUUCUUAGUUUAAAAAUUAAAAAAAGGCUAGCUAAAAUACAUUUUAUCGUGUUUAAUAUAUUACGUGUUACAUUUAAUCUCUUGAAUUUUAGUUCUGUACUUAACUUUUUGAAAACUUACAUAGUUAGCUUCCUAAAGGAAAACAAAUAUAUAAUUCAUUCUCUUGAGGGGACAAAAAAAUGGAGAUAUAUAUAUUUGGUCAUUUCUCACUUUUUUUAAAAAAUACUAUAAUCUGAAAAGAUAUUUUAGGCUCUAGUCUAUAUGAAAUACAGUUUGUUCUCAUGAUGGCCAAAUACACAAUACAACCAUCCAUAAAAUAGAGGAGAAAAGUUAUGAACUAGAGCUUCUUGCUUUCCUGCAUAACAUUUUGCCAUAAUUGAGCAAAUCUCCAGAGAUUUGUUAAAGUAUACUAUUUAUCAUGCUCAAAAUUGAAAAAAAAAAAAGAAGAAGUAAAAAACAAAAAAGAGAUGAUGAUGAUGAUGAUAAGGCAACUAGAGUUGAUAACAUCACUAUUUAACCUUAUAAUAAUUAGGCUUAAAUUCAAAGAAAUGUCUAUAAAACAGGAUGAGAUAUUUACUCAAAAUAGAUGCUAGUAAUUUCUCCAUCAAGUUAGAAAUGACUUUCCCAAACUGAAGGAUUUUUUGGACCAGAAAAAAAAAAAAAUUUUAAGGCCACACACCAUCAACUAUGGCAGGAUUGGUGCACUACUGUGAUGUAUAUAUAGCACAUACUGUUGUUACAUGACCUUUUGAAACAAAACCAAACAGUAAAAUGUGGGCAAUUCUUAAAAAAUCAAACAAACAACUAUUCUAGUUAAUUACAAUGAGACAAAUUUCGUGAAAUAUCUAGUGAGGAAAAGAAGACUCGUCAAAGCAAGUGUCGACUCGAUUGGAGCACGAAUAAUUAAAAAGGAUUCGUAAAAACUAUGAGGAGUAAUUAGAACUUAAUUUAAAUGGCCAAGGGUGUUUGGUCUAGUGGUAUGAUUCUCGCUUCGGGUGCGAGAGGUCGCGAGUUCGAUUCUCGCAACACCCCCUUUAAAUUCAUUUUUUUAUUUUAUAUAAAUUUUUAUUUUGAUAAACUCUGGUUUUGAGUCCCAACACAUGCAGAGUUUUGAGUCCAACACAUAAACGAUGAUUCAAAAGUUGUUAAAAAGCGAUAAGGUUUUUUUUUGUUCCCGUAGAGCCAAAGCAAUCUUUUUCACGUGCAGUUUAUGAUUGGAGAGAGCUUCUCCACAAAGCUAAAGCUCACGGCUACACAGGUCUAUAAGCGCUUUUUCGUUGGCUAUAAUGCAGGGACAAGUGUAAGUGACCUGCAGAGUACUUUCCAUUUCCAAUACGUGGAAGGAAAAGCCUAAUUAUGCUCCCACACAAUGCAAGAUCCACAUCAUUAUGUUCUUAUUAUAUAUAAGCUAAAUAGUCUCAAUUCACCGAAGAAAUGAAGAAUACAAUAAGUUAUCCUUUGAUAGUUUAAAUUUUUAGAUUAAUUUCCUUUCUUUCAAAUCCCAAUCCAUAUUUGAUGAAAUAUAGAGUAAUUAAAACACCGUUUUUUAUCAGAUUAAACCAAUUCGCAGCGCUCGGAGGCUACAGCUUUGAUACUCUAAGGCCUAGUUUGGUUGGGGGGAUAAGCGGAGAUAACGAAAGUUAUCCCCGCUAUUCCGCCAAACGGGAUAAAAAUUGGUCGGGAUAUUUUAUCCCAGUCAAACCUUGUUAUUCCCGGUUAUCCCAGGAUAGCAAGGAAUUUGUUAUUCCACCAUUUUUGUGGAAUAGUACUAUUCCAAUGCUUAAUUUCAAACUUAAUUAAAAUUAUAAAUUGAAUUAAAACUAAAGUAUAUAAAUAUAAUAUAUUAAUAUUAUAAUACAUUAUUUUUAUUAUAAAAUUAUUAAUUAUACUAUAUUAAUACAUAUUAUUUAUAUUUAAAUAUUAUAAUAAAAUUUAUAAUAAUCUAUAUUUAAGUAUUAUAUAAUUCCUUGUAUAUUAAUUUAAGUUUAAGUAGAAUUUUUUAAAAAAUCUAUAUUUAUUAUAAUUAAUUAUUUUUGAUUAAUUUCCCCACCCGUAUUUUAUUUAAAAAUUAAAAAUUAAAAUUUUAAAUUAAAAUUAUAAUUUAUUAAUUAUAAUCUCAAAAUUAAUUUAUAAUUUUAAAUUAUAAAUUAUAAAUUAUAAUUUUAAUUUUGAUAUUUUAAUUUUGAAAUUUAAAUUUGAUAUUAAUUAUUAUUAAAUUUAAAUUUGAUCUUAAAUUUAAAGUUUGAAAUUUAAAAAUUUUAAUUUAAAUAUAAUAAAAGGAUAACAUAAUUAUUUUUUAUUUAUAAAAACCCACUAUCUUUCUUAUUCUAUCGUAUCUAGCCAAACGCUAUUUUUAUUAAUCCCAAGAAUAAGCCAAUUUUCAUCCAAACGCAAAAUUGAUCUAAUCCCCGCUUAUACCUCAAUUUAUACCUAUCUCUACAAUAGCCACUUUUUGCUUAUUCCCGAACCAAACAAUACCUAAAAUAAGUUUAGAAUAACUUUAGCGAAAUAGCAUAUCAACCCAGCUAAAAUCAGCUAAAAAUAUGUGCUUUACAGUAUUUUCGCUCUUCUUCAUCAUGGUGCCAUCUCAUUCACGUCAAAGUAAAUUAAGGCAUAAAGGGCAAAAAAAAAAAGAAAAGAAAAAAGAAACACCCAGUUUUAAAGGAAUCAAUAAAACUAAAUUUGUUCGAUUCCCCCAUGCUGAACAUUGCACGAGAAUAUGCCACAGAGCAAGCAAAAUGGGCCAUUUGUUAAAAACGAAAGAAUGGAUCGAAGUAAACAUCUUCUGCAUGUUCUUCUACAUGAGGAGCCUUUUAAACACAACAAACUCAAUUACAGGAUGCAAUAUAGUGAUUCAUGUUCCUCAUAGCGCAGAACCUUCUAGAAAAUAUGAGCGACUUUACUUGCGAGUACGCGGUCCCGCCUCUCAAUGUAUCCGUGAGGGAACCAUCCGGCUUUCCCUUUGCACUCGCCUUCCGCCCACCCAUUACUUGACACCUGUAAUCAACGUACAAUAGAACCCAAGUUAUUUACGAACUUUCUGAUAGCUUAAAGACAUCAAUUUUUGGCUCAAAAGAUUUGUGUUUCUUUUUUUUCUUCACUUUUGUUCAAAAGAUUUUUGGUCAAUUUCUCGAAUUGUGAUCAAAAGCUUGCCUAAAAAUAUAGAGUUGUCAGUUUAAAGCGCCAUCUACAGCAAGAACAAUAUUAAAAAUUGCUCUUGUAGCUAUUGUGAUCAAAAGCUUUAAAUUGACAUAUAUCAAUGCUUUAACAACUCCCUUCACGCGUUUAGAAAUAAUCCAAUAGACAAUUACAGAAACAACAAGCCCUAACUAACUUAACCAGCUUCACAAAUUAUAGAUAACAACUGACAAAAGUAAGCUUUAUCAAAGCUUGCCUGAAAAUUUUCAAUGGCAUAGAUUACACAAAAAGUUGUCUGAUAUCAUAACUCCAUUAAUGUGACGCCCUAAUAGUCCCGCAUAAGAUAGAACAGGGAUUAUAACUGCAAAUAUAGGGACCUUGAGGUCUACUACUAAUGACUGAAUUUUAAGUAUUUUAGGCACGUAUUUUGGGCUAAACUAGUUUUCAGUGCUAAUGGAUCGGAUUACUAUAUUUGGUAUUAGAACUGAUUUGUUAGCUAAAGGUGUGAGGUGGGUAUCACAUUGCCUAAUAAUCUUGGGCUAGGAAAAAAGAUUUGACGAGGACGGUAGAGUUUAAGUGGGGGGAGUCUGUGACGCCUUAAUAAUCCCACAUUGACUUGAAAAGUGAUUAUGAUUGCGAAUACAAGAACCAGUGACACUAAUACUGAUAACUAGAUUUAUGUCAUCCAAGUGGUGACUCAAGUAGAAUCGCAAGUAAAGAAAACUUACCUUCCGAACAACAAUAAUGUCACCUACUGACAAGGUAAGCUCCACAUUACUCUCGGCCUGAUACGAUUGGAUAGCCUGUGACAUAAGAAAUAAAAGGAUAUAAAGGAACAAUUACCAGUUAUCCAAUAUGUUUUUUUUUGUAAGCUCGGGAAUUGAAAGCUAAUAAUUAACUACCUCUCCUAAGAAGUACUCGGUUGAUUCAGCCAAUUCAUCAACACUUGGAGUUGCAAACAUGCCAUUAGCUUCUUCAUAUGAAGGAGGUGGUGGCAUAGAGUUUUCAAUCACUGGACUUGGAGCUGCUUCAAUUCUUUGACGCUCUGAUACCAUCUGUUAAUUGCAAAGAUAAUACGCAUAUUAAGGAAUGGAAAAAAAAAAAAAAAACUUGUAUGAACAAAUAAGAGGUAGCCAUAUCAGAUACCUCUCCUCAAGCUGAUCAAGAUUUGCAGGAUUCUCUGAUGAUAAGCUCGCUCAGAUUCAACCUUAAAGAGAAAUGGAAAUAGUUAGUAAAGACCCAUUCCAAAUUCUAGUUUAAAUUUAAAUUAUUUAUAUAUUAUCAAAAUUAGAUAAAAUUGAUUUGUUACCAUUGCAAUAAGCCGCUGCAAUGUCAAUCUUUGUUGUUGGCCUUCCACAGCAGUCAUCGCAGCAACAGCUUCUUUACCUAAUACCCCCAUGUUUGACUUUAAUUCAUGCAGCUUGGAUUCAGCAGCUUCUAGCUUUGAGAUCAAGUCACCAUUUCCUGGGGUUUCUCUUACUUUAAUUUGACGUUUUGAGACUUCAAUAGCCUGUGAGGGACAAAUAACCUAACUUGAUAGUCUGAUUCACUAAGAGUUCCAAUAGAUAAGCCCUUAAAGGGUUGACUGGUAGCAACAGGAAUCUUCUGCAUGUUAUGACAAAUCACGCAUAAAAAGUCCAGGACAAAUCCUAUAUCAUGUUUUCUGACUGAUUUUGUUGUAGCACUGUUGUUCCAUCAAAUACACUAGUUCCAGAUGGAAGCUAUCCAGCUCAACAUAUCAAAAGAUUUUAUAAAAGAAAAUUAUAAAUCAAAAUUUCAGUUUAGAGAAUCGAGAUAAUAAUUUUUCCACAGUAUGUCCUACAGACCCAUUCAUAUAAAGCUACCAGUGGGAAAGGCAACAAUGCAGGAAGCAUUUAUCUAGAAUAUACAAUAUAGUCUUUCUUUAAGGGAUUCAAGUAAGAUAACCUGAGCUUCAGCUUCCUGUCGGACUUUGUCGUAUCUCUGGGCUAGGUGGCGAGCAUCCUCCAAAGGAGCACCCAUCACCAUUGCUCUUAAUGGCUCUGCAACCUGGUGAAAUUCAAGGUGAUACCAAGGGUUAUAUGAAGCAGUAAACAUCUAUAUAGGCUAGACUAAGCUGAUAAAAUGCAAUAAAGUAAUCAUGAUUCCAUCUACAUUAGAUUUUCAAAUACAAGACAUCAACAUAUGUGGGAUCAAUCACAAAUUUUGUAAGCGACUAUCAACCCAUCCAUUUUCAAAAAAUAGCUAACACGAUAGAAUAAAAGAAGCAUGACUGUCCGAAUACUUGUUAUUUACAGUUCUCUCCCCCCCAAAAAAAAAACAAAAGAAACCCUCCCCCCACCCCCACCCCACAAGAAAACACUAGCUGUAACAAUGAAAAACUGAACAUAAGGAUUAAAAUCAAGACAAACCUAUACCUGCGUACCAAGGCUUUCAAUAGAUUUCCCCGUUCCUUUUCCAUUUGACAGCUAGCUUUUGAGAAGCAUAAAGCAGCCUUUGACAAUGUAUUACCACUGGUGCAGGUGUUUUCAGCACCAUAUUUCCGACUAUCUUCAGACAAUUUAUUUCCUAUUAAUACAGAUUUGAUGAAUAAGCAACAAGCUAUGGAUCAAGACAAAUAUAUCAACUAAUUUGUCCCUAUUUUCCCUUUCGAAGCAACAGAAAAGUUCGGAAAAACCUACAAGCAUACCUAUUUCAACUUGUUUGGACCCUGUAACAAUAUAGCCCUCAACACCCCGCACUAUGUCCCUUUGAAAAUGCUGAAAAAAAUUGAAAGAAACUUUUAGAAAAACAAACUCUAGUAGAAUCAGUCAACGGAAAUAAAAGGAUUCUUGACCUUGGCCGCACGAGUGGAUAUGUAAAGCUUUUCCAAUUUUUGGUGUUGUUGAAGUUCUCCUUCAUCAGAGAACACAUUAUCAGAACUUCCAUAUCCACCACCUCCAAAUUGCUUGAGAACAGCCUGCAACGUUAGUGAUAAAAAAAUCACCUAGAUUUCAUAUAAUUUCAAAAAUAUUUCCAAAUAGAAUAACACAAGUUUACCGCAAGAAGAAAAUCCUAUCUCCAGUAUAUAUCAACUUUUGGCCCAACAAGUGCUUCCAUGAUAGAGAUGACUAAGGCAGGGCUAGUAUUUGGCAAAAAGAAGAAGCAAAAAAUCUUACUGAUGUCAAGAGAUGACAGCUUGUUACCGCUAAGACAUUGAUAGAUAAGGUUCACAAGAUUAUUCAAGAUACAAGGUCCAAAAACAUCCACCAAAGGUGAUUUUAGCAGAUUCGUGGAACACGUUAUGAAGAGGUUAUCCAAAUUAUACUACAUACAUGUUAAAAAGAACAUGCACACCAUCAAACUACAUUUAAGUGUACUUAACCUUCCGAAACCAAGAUCAUGAUCUAAUGAAUUGACCUAAGCAAGGUUUUGAUUCCUUUUCGGCAAAAGUUUAGGUAGAGCUUAACCCGUGCUAGAUUCGCAGUUGAACAUUUUUGACAUAUUUGAAACUGCAAUAAUUCCAAUACGAAGAAUAUUUGACUAGCUUCCUGUGUCUCAUAGCAAUAUCUCUACUAUGCAAAUGCUAAUUUUGCAACUAUAUAUGGCACGACUAUACUAUAUUUUGCCAAUGCAAAACUUCUCGUGCAAAUAAACACUUUGUUGUUAAAAAGAACGAAUGUUCGGCCGAAAGGUAAUGGUUUCUUAUUUGCAAUAUAUCUCUUUGUAGCGAAAUCCAGAAACAAGAUACAGCAAAUUACAGAUACUUAACCUACCGAAUAAUCAUGUCAUAUUCAGUGAUUUUUUUUAUAUUUUUUAUUUGUAUUCACAGGCCCAAUUAUUCAAAGUGCUUAAUUAUCAUUUCGCUAUAUCAGGAAACAUACAAUAACAGCAAAUCAAAGGAAAUGAAUCUAGCCACCUACGUCAAGUCAAUUGCAUCCAAAAUUCAUGUACACUCGAAUCGGUGAUAUAACCUAUUAUAGCUUCUAUCAUUCAUGCCCUCAUAAAUAUUAGAACAAAAUUUCGCCAAGUUAUCAUCUAUUACAAUUUACAAUACCAAAUAUAAAACUUCAACCAAAAAAAUAGAUUUAAAAAACUCCUCUUUUUAGUGUACAUAAUUGAAUCCCCAUCAAGGAAACGGGGUUGGGAUGAGAAAGAGGGAGAAGGAUCGAUCCAAAACCAAAUCAAGCGCAUGGAAAGAUCGAAUCAAAGCGACAGAUCGAGGAGAUGGGACGCGAAAGGAGCACCUGCUGUUGCCGCGCGACCUGCUCUCUGAGCUUGCUCGCCUGCUUCCUAAUGGCCUCCAUGGCUCCAGCGGCGGCGGCGGAGGAGGAGGAGGAGGAGGAGGAGGAGGAGGAGGAGCCCUAGGGAGCGAGGAGAGAGGGGAAAAGGGGAGAGGGAGAAGAGGAAGAGGAAGAGGAAGAGGACGAGGAAGAGAGAGAAGGGUAAGGGGCGAGAUCUGAUGUUGUCAUGUCUUUUGUUUUUGUUCUCUUAUUUUUAUUUUCUUGUAAUUAUUUUGGGUCAAAAAAGGGAAGGGAAUUUAUUAGGGACUAAAGCUUAAUAUAUGUUGAGAUGUUGUGGUUCCUCUUUACAAUAAUAUUUUGAGGAGUAAAAUUAAAAUAUUUUUAAAAAUAAACUUUUAUUCUCAAUGUUAAAUUUAAUCUAGCCUAUUCGAACUUAUUAAGCUCUGAAGCUCAUGAUUUUCGACGUCAUUUAUCUAUUAUUAAGAUGGUUUCAAAAUUAAUUAUUUUUAAUAACUAAUAUUAGAUAAAUUUAAGACCACUUAAUUCUAUCCAAAUAAUGUUACAAAAUUAUAAAAUUCGAGUCUUAUAAAGUUUAAAUAACGUAGAUCAUGUUUAAUAAUAUUGAUUGUCGAUUUAAAUGCACCUUUGGUAGAAAUUCGAUAAAAAUAAAUACUUUCGUUUAUUUUAGAAAUAUUUCAGCUUUACUCGUACCUUGAAGUGAUAUUAUAUAAAUGUCUAAGUUAUUUUUGUAAGGCCUUUGUUUUUUUUGCAUUUCCGCUUCAAAAUAUAUGUAUAAAUAUGUAUAGCUUAUAAAAUGGAUUCAUGAAAAGUUUUAAAGUUGCAAUUUGUUGUAGUAAAUUUUUAGUUAUCAAAUUUUUUUUAAGGUUUUGAAAUGUGCAAAUUUAUUCCUGAAGAUUGAUUACUGUUAGCUAAUCAUAAAUUUUCAUAGUUAUAAUUGUUAUUUUCUUAUAAACAAUAGGCUUUUUUUUUUUAAAAAAAAAAGAUUCACGAUUUAUAAUCCACAAUUCAUGUAGAAUAAUAAUAAUAAUAAGAAAAAAUUAUUCUAAGGACAUAAUGACCAUUUUAUGUGAGAAAAAAAAAACUCAAUUUUAUUCAGUAAAUUGACCCAAAAAAAGUAUAUUUUUAAACUAUAUAACUUCAUAUUUAAUAAACAAAAUUUCGUAUGAUAAAUAUGUAAUUUUACUAUUUUGAAGGAAUACAUCAGUAAUUAAACCUUUUUUCAAUUGUAUACUCAUAGAAUUUUACAUCUAAUUCGUAAGAACAUAUUAUACUAACAUUUACAUAAAUAAUUAAUAUAUAUUAUUAUAUGAUAAAUCAGUCUUAAAAUAUGACCUGAUUGAACCGUGAAUAACUAGCUAGGAAUGAUCAACGAGUCUAAAUUAAGUUUGGUUUGCAUCUGGACCUGAUCUGGAUCCGAAUUUCGAACAACAUAGUGUCCGGAUCUUGACCCGAUUCAAAAUCAGCCGUUCGGAUUGAAGCCCACCCGGUUCAACCCGAUUUUGAGCUAAAAUUAAAAAAAAAUGAAAAAUAAAUAAAAAUCUGUAUUUAACUGGAAUCUAAAUUCAUUUUUUUAUAUUCAAAAUAAAAAUAUUAUAAUAGAGGAAAUGUUUCAUCUAUUUUUCAAAAAAAAAAGCUAUAUAUAAACAUAAAAAAUAAUUUAACAUAAUUUAAUUUUGUUAUUUUUAAAUUAUUAAUGUGAAACCAGGUCGUUGAUUCGGAUUUGUCCGUACAUGUCCGCGGCUGUUAAUCUGGAUCAAAUAAUUUAUCCGGAUCCGAUUUUCUGAUCGGAUUUUUUUGUCGAGAUCCGAUUAUGUUUCAGGUUAGACCCGGUCGGUCAAUCGGGUCGGAUCGUAUUUUGCCAACAAUAUAAAAUGUGGUGGGCUUGGGCCUGAUCAGAUUCGGCCCAUAGGCCUAACCUAAAUCCAAGCGCACAAAUACCAAGGCUUAAUCAAAGUUUUGGGCCCAAACCAAAUCUAAGUUUUGGGCCAUGUCAGUUGGGCAAGCUCACACAUUUAUUUCCAAAAAAUCGCGUUAAAAAAUAUUUCGGAUUUGGGCUCAAAUAUUUUAAAUGCUUCUGUAUAGUUCUUCACCAUGAGCAAAAAUUUUAAGUAAGAGAUAAAAAUAUUAGUUAAGCAGCCAUAGAUUACAAUAGAUUUUUACGUGAAAAACAACUUUGGAAAUUAAGCACAAAGCGAUGGCCCACAACUAGAAUUUUUUUUUUUUUUUCUUUCAUCCUCGUCCUUCCUUUCUCAGAAGAGAGAAAAACAAAGAAAUUAAUACUUGGAUCUACUAAUUUAAACAUUAAUAUAAGCACAAAUUAAAAGUAAUACAUUAAAGAUGUAUUUGUGUUGGAGUGGUGGCGCAGUUGGAUAGUGCGCGUAUGUUUGAGUUAUCCCCUGAGGUCGAGAGUUCGAGCCUCUCAAACUCCACAAUGUAAAUUAUUGGAGCUGUGAUGAUAAGUUGAUAUUUGUGAUUGGGAGGGUCCUUCACAAACGUCUGAUUCUAAGAUGACAUUUAAACACAUCUGAGCUCUAUUUUUAUUUUAUUUUAUUUUUUUUUGUCCUUUUCACUUUGAAGUUCUUUUUUUACGUGUGGGUGCUUAUACAAGUUCUUUAAUUUUUUUUUUAUUUCUUUUAAAUAAUUUUUUUGUAAGAUCGCUAGUAAUUUUAUUUCCUUUGCCUUUGUUUGGUUGGGGGUUAAGGGAUUAUUCCACCCCUUAACCCCCAUUUUAUUCCCAAACAUUCCAAAAAAUAGCUGGGGUUAGCUAAUCCCACCUCAAAUAAAUUAUCCCGGGUUAGCUAACCCCACCUAACCCCACUAAACUCCAACCAAACACUAUUUUCUAUUUAUAAUAACCCACUAUCUUUCUUAUCACACCUACUCCAACCAAUUAUUAUCCUUCUUUAUCAAUCAUUAUCUUCUUAUCCCACCUACUCCAACCAAACACUAUUUUUCAUUAUUCUAGAUUAACUCCAACCCCCAACAAAACACAAAAAAACUUUAACCCACCUUAACCCUGAACUUAACUCUAUCCCUGGAAUAGCUACUUUUUCCUUAACCCCGAACCAAACGGAGGCUUUAAAAGAUUACUAGAAUUUUUUAUGUUCGAGCCUUUGCUUGCGCUGUUAUUACUUCUUAGUAGAGUGCUGAAACUCCAGAUUUUUUGGGGUUAUACAAGUUCUUUUGGACCCGAGUUUACUCUUUCGGAUAUUCGCUUGAUUAUUCGCUUGAUUAAAUUCAGAUAGAAAAUAAAAAUACAGUUAAUCUUACUAUUAAUGCAACGACCCGACCAGCUAGCAAUAAUAACUCGUUAGGCCAAACCACCGACCCAAAAUGCUUAAGCCCAGUUAUUAUUACUAGUGUUUAAGUCUAUUAUAUAUCCAAUCAUAUCCCCAUUUCUAUCCAAUGUGGGAUUAUUGGGGUGUGACAGACUCCCUCAAUCAUAUCCCCAUUUCUAUCCAAUGUGGGAUUAUUGGGGUGGGAGUCUCUAUCCAANGAGCUGGAAGCACGGAAGGCUCCGUGCUUCCGAUAGCAUAGUAACCUCACUCAAUUAAAAGUAAUACAUUAAAGAUGUAUUUGUGGUGGAGUGGUGGCGCAGUUGGAUAGUGCGCGUAUGUUUGAGUUAUCCCCUGAGGUCGAGAGUUCGAGCCUCUCUCACUCCACAAUAUAAAUUAUUAGAGCUGUGAUGAUAAGUUGAUAUUGUGAUUGGGAGGGUCCUUCACAAACGUCUGAUUCAAAGAUGACAUUUAAACACAUCUGAGCUCUAUUUUUUUAUUUUUUUGUCCUUUAAGAUCAUUUUUUUUUUUGAGAGACAGGUAGCACGCUACCCACUUCGUUUAUUUCAUUUAGAAAUAAACUUAGCUAGAAAUAUGAAUUAACUAGGAUUCGAACUUUGGUCUCGGAUACCAACCACCAAGCUCUUUGCCACUUGCUCUAGGGACAAUCGGUUCCUUUAAGAUCACUUUGAAGUUCUUUUUUUACAUGUGGGUGCUUAUACAAGUUCUUUAUUUUUUUUUAAUUUCUUUUAAAUAAUUUUUUUGUAAGAUCGCUAGUAAUUUUAUUUCCUUUAAGAUUACUAGAAUUUUUUUAUGUUCGAGCCUUUGCUUGUGCUGUUAUUACUUAUUAGUAGAGCGCUGAAACUCCAGAUUUUUGGGGGAUAUACAAGUUCGUUUGGGCCCGAGUUUACUCUUUUGGAUAUUCGCUUGAUUAGAUUCGGAUAGAAAAUAAAAAUACAGUUAAUCUUACUAUUAAUGCAACGACCCGACCUGCUAGCAAUAAUAACUCGUUAGGCCAAACCACCGACCUAAAAUGCUUAAGCCCAGUUAUUAUUACUAGUGUCUAAGUCUAUUAUAUACCCAAUCAUAUUCCCAUUUCUAUCCAAUGUGGGAUUAUUGGGUGUGACAGACUCCCUCCAUUACUGAUGUCUUCGUCAGUCUAAUCAUAGACACAGCCCAAAAUCACCAAGCGAUGUGAGACUCGUCUCGCUAGCCUUGUCAUCCAGACCCUGGCAUAAUCGGUCAUUUUGUAGCCUAUCAUCUUGUCUUUUUGACGCUGGCUCAGCCGAGACUCAUCUCACACUUCCAGCUACCCGACGCGCUAGCAAUAAUAGCUCGUUAGGCCAAACCACCCACCCAAAAUGUUUAAGCCCAGUUAUUAUUACUAGUGUCUAAGUCUAUUAUAUACCAAAUCACAUCCCCAUUCCUAUCCAAUGUGGGAUUACCAAAUGUAACGACCCAGCCCACAUCCCUAUUCCUAUCCAAUGUGGGAUUACCAAAUAUAACGACCCAGCCUACUAGCAACAAUAACUCGUUGGGCCCAAUCACCGGCCCAAAAUGUUUAAGCCCAGUUAUUAUUAGUAGCGUGUAGGCUUCAUAUAAAUCGAUCGAAAUUAGUAUCCCACUAUUGGGGGCGUUACAAACUCCCCAUGUUUAGACCCUGACGUUCUCGUCGGGUCCAAACCAGAUCACAGACAGAUAGAUCAGGACCAUAAUUAUCAGGCGAUGUGAGAUUCUAAAGGUGGCUCCUACAGGUUCAAGAUGUGGCUCCCACCAAACCCGUUGGUGUAGCACUUUGCCCUGCAUAGGGCUUAGCUCUCACACUUCCGGCUGGUAUUCGGCUCUGAUACCAAUUGCAACGAUCCGACCCGCCAGCAAUUAUAACUCAUUGGGCCCAAACCACCAGCCCAAAAUGCUUAAGUCUAGUUAUUAUUAUUAGCGUGUAGGCCUCAUAUAAACUUAUCGGAAUCAGUAUCCCAUCCGAUAUGGGACUAUUGGGGGCGUUACAAUUAACCAUGUAGAAAUUACUAUAAACAAAAAUUUAAAAUAAUAAUUUUCUUAUUUUUAUUGGAUUAUGCCUUACCUUUUUUAACUCUGUAUUGUUCAACAAAUUUUUUGUCAGAAUAAAUGCAAAGAAGCAAGAUAAUAAACUCUGUUUGUCAACUGGACUUUACUUAUUGACAAUUUGGACCAAAAAAAAAAAAACAUGACUGAUAAUGGUGAUCACUUUUUUUUUUCCCUAAUAUGAUAUUUACCCAUUUGUUAACUUAUAGAUAUGCUUAAAAAUGUUGAAUCUCCAUGUGAAUGUAGUUGGUAUUAUUUUUUUGCUUGCUAACAAGUAACAAGUAAACAUGUAGACAUAAUAUCUAAUGAUAUCUCCUGUAUUUAUUAAUAAAAGAAUUUCUAAGAAGAAAAAUAAGGAUGAGGACAAAACUACACUUUUUGGCUUUCCUGGAAAUUGUGCAAUGCCAGUUGGAACUGAACAUUAUUAUCUCCAAAAUAAUAUGAAGAGGUGCAUCAAAUCUAAUAAUAAAAUGUGAUUUCACACAUACACUUUUCAAAUUAAAAAAAAAAUGAAAAAAUAAAAAUAAUGUUUCCCUCCUUAACAGUAGCCACAUGUCACUUUUUAAAACAAAGAGGCUAAAUAUAUUGAUGUUAAAAGCUGAUUAAUUAAUAUCAUUUUAAUUAGUCACAUCCAUAACAAAACGUAUUUUCAUAACUUCNUCUAUCCAAUGUGGGAUUAUUGGGGUGUGACAGACUCCCUCAAUCAUAUCCCCAUUUCUAUCCAAUGUGGGAUUAUUGGGGUGGGAGUCUCUAUCCAAUGUGGGAUUAUUGGGGUGUGACAGACUCCCUCCAUUAAGGUCCUGACGUCCUCGUCAGUCUAAUCAUACACACAGCCCAAAAUCAUCAAGCAAUGUGAGACUCAUUUCGCUAACCUUGUCACCCAGACCCUAGCAUAACCGGUCAUCUUGUAGCCUAUCACCUUGUCUUUCUGACGCUGCCUCAGCCGAGACUCAUCUCAUACUUCCAGCUAGUGAUCCGGCUCUGAUACCAAAUUGCAACGACCCGACCCGCUAGCAAUAAUAACACGUUAGGCCAAACCACCGACCCAAAAUGUUUAAGCCUAGUUAUUAUUACUAGUGUCUAAGUCUAUUAUAUACUAAAUCACAUCCCCAUUCCUAUCCAAUGUGGGAUUACCAAAUGUAACGACCCAACCCACUAGCAACAAUAACUCGUUGGGCCCAACCACCGGCCCAAAAUGCUUAAGCCCAGUUAUUAUUAGUAGCGUGUAGGCUUCAUAUCCCACCCGAUGUGGGACUAUUGGGGGCGUUACUAACUCCCCAUGUUUAGACCCUGACAUCCUCGUCGGGUCCAAACCAGAUCACAAGCAGACAGAUCAGAACCAUAAUUAUCAGGCAAUGUGAGAUUCUAAAGAUGGCUCCUACGGGUUGAAGAGGUGGCUCCCACCAAAUCUGUUGGUGUAGCACUUUGCCCUGCAUAAGGCUUAGCUCUCACACUUCCGGCUGGUAUUCAGCUCUGAUACCAAUUGCAACGAUCCGAUCCGCCAACAAUAAUAACUCGUUGGGCCCAAACCACCAGCCCAAAAUGCUUAAGCCUAGUUAUUAUUACUAGCGUGUAGGCCUUAUAUAAACUUAUCGGAAUCAGUAUCUCAUCCGAUAUGGGACUAUUGGGGGCGUUACAAUUAACCAUGUAGAAAUUACUAUAAACAAAAAUUUAAAAAUAAUAAUUUUCUUAUUUUUAUUGGAUUAUGCCUUACCUUUUUUAUUUGAACUCUGUAUUGUUCAACAAAUUUUUUGUCAGAAUAAAUGCAAAGAAGCAAGAUAAUAAACUAUGUUUGUCAACUGGACUUUACUUAUUGACAAUUUGGACCAAAAAAAAAAAAACAUGACUGAUAAUGGUGAUCACUUUUUUUUUUCCCUAAUAUGAUAUUUACCCAUUUGUUAACUUAUAGAUAUGCUUAAAAAUGUUGAAUCUCCAUGUGAAUGUAGUUGGUAUUAUUUUUUUGCUUGCUAACAAGUAACAAGUAAACAUGUAGACAUAAUAUCUAAUGAUAUCUCCUGUAUUUAUUAAUAAAAGAAUUUCUAAGAAGAAAAAUAAGGAUGAGGACAAAACUACACUUUUUGGCUUUCCUGGAAAUUGUGCAAUGCCAGUUGGAACUGAACAUUAUUAUCUCCAAAAUAAUAUGAAGAGGUGCAUCAAAUCUAAUAAUAAAAUGUGAUUUCACACAUACACUUUUCAAAUUAAAAAAAAAAUGAAAAAAUAAAAAUAAUGUUUCCCUCCUUAACAGUAGCCACAUGUCACUUUUUAAAACAAAGAGGCUAAAUAUAUUGAUGUUAAAAGCUGAUUAAUUAAUAUCAUUUUAAUUAGUCACAUCCAUAACAAAACGUAUUUUCAUAACUUCUUACUUUUUUACAAAUAAGAAAUUUUAAAAAUUAUAGAAAUUUAGUUAUCAUUAAAUAAGAGCAUAUAUACAGAGAAUAGGAGGUGAUAGAAUUCAUCGCACUAUGCUAGAAAAGCUAUUUAUAUCUAAAAGUUUAAACAAUCAGAAAAUAAUAUUUUAAUGUAACAUUUUCAACAGCUUUGAGGAUUUAUGAAAAUGAGUUAACAAGCUACACGACAUUGGCCCGUUUGUUUUGGUGUAAGUGUGAGUGAUGGAACUCAAGUUCCAUCACUUCUGUUAUUUGUUUUGAUGUAAGUGAAAAAUAUAAUGUAACUAAAGUUACGUUAAAGCUCUACUUCACCUAUUCUCGACUUCCUCCUCUAAAGUGCCGAACUCGACUUUCACUAUACUCAACCUUCUCUAAAAAAUUUAUUAAACAGUAAAAUCUAAACUCUACUUCCUUUCUAAUGGGUUAGAAUUAUCUUAUUUAUAAUAAAUUAGGAUUAUCUUUAAAUAAUAAUAAAAAAAAUUAAUUAUAUAAUAAAUUAAAUUUUAUAGUGGUAAAUUUACUACUAUAUUUAGGAGAUAAUGAGAUCCACUUACUUACAUCAAAACAAACAACGGAACUCAAAAAACUAAUUUUACCAGCACCAAGUUACAUCAAAACAAACAACAUAAGUGAUUGAAUUUAACUUUCAGGCGGUACGAGAUACGUCAAAACAAACAACGAAAAAAUAAUCACACUUCAGGNGUUUGUUGGCCAGCUCGUGGGCCAGCUCGUGCCGAACACGAGUUGGAUUUUUCAGCUCGAUACUUUAACGAGUCACCUCGUGUUCGGCUCGUUUAAUAAACGAGCCGAACACGAGCCGACCCCAGCUCGCUCGUGUUCGGCUCCUUUACACCCCUAAUAAUGCAUCUACUUGCAUUAUUUUUUUUAGCUAAACUAGGUGAUCAAGGUCAUUAAUACUAGUUAAAUUAUACGAAAUAGUCAUUAUUCUUUAAAAAAUUUAAGUUCGUAGAUAAUGGCGUCUCACAUCUGGAAUCAAAACUUUUUGGAGUCUACUGGAACUCGAAUUGAAAAUCUCAUGCUCAAAUACUAUAUUAAAUUAUAUGAAACAAUUGUUAUUCUGUAAAUAUUUAAGUUUAUAGAGAACGACAUUCAUAGAGAACGGCAUUCAUAUAUUUUAUAUUCAACAAUAUAUACUAGUUAACUUUCUCUACUGUUCUUGUGAAUUGAGAAGCUUUCUGAGAGAAGGCACAUUAUGGCUCAUAGUGGACAGUGAAGAGGAUUUUUUUUUUUUUUUAUUGUAACAAAGGUCUGAUCAUAUAGUUACUAAUCAAAGUCAAGGACAUGAGAAAUUUUGCCUACACCUGGUCUACACGUACACUUUAUACACUGCAAGUAAUAUUUGAUAAAACAUUCUAAAAUUACAAUAAAAUUAGAUAAAUAUAAUCUAAAAUAUCAAAAAAAAAAAACCAUUUACUGAGAAGUUCACAUAUUUUGGCAAUUAAUAGCAACAAUGAUCAUUGUUUGAUUCAUAAGAAUCGACAUCUUAUUGAAUGCGAAUUAAAGCAAUGGGUCUAAGAGCUCAUUGAAUGCGAAUUCCAACAUGGAUUAUGAAUCUAAAAUUAUUCCUUUGUUUGAGAUUAGGAAUCUAAUCUUCGACUUGGGAGAUUCAAGGGAGUAAUUAAUCUUCGAUAGCUUAUCAAACUUAAAUUUGAAUUCUUGUAAGUCCAGCAACUCGAGUCCGAAUCUGAUGAGUAACACUCCUAUUUGAAUGAUCGAAGAGAAAGAGUAGCAAGAUAUCUUUAAAUAUGAUUUAUGACUCAGUAUUUUCUGUAAUAUGAUAGUUUUUUAAAACAACGUAGAUUUUCAAAGUUGACAUCAAUGUCAAAUGCAUGUUGGCGUACAUCAAAUAUGUUUUAUUAAAUUUAUCUGUGAAUAUAACUUAUAAUUUGUUAAUAUUAUUACCUGUCGUAAUAACAGCUCAUUAAUUGUAUUUUCAUAAGAGUUUAAGAACUCUUACUUUCUACUGGUUUUACUUUUGUUGUCCUAAAAAUUCAAUUGACUUUUUAAAACUUUAAAAAUUAUGAAGGUGUAAGAUUUACACUUGUGUUUGAGAACAUAGAUAAUAUGAUUUUUUUUAUAAAUGAUAUUUUUAAAAAGUAAAAAACGAGGGGUAUUUUUAUAAACACAACCCAUUAUUGAAUGGACAAUAUGGACGUGACCUAGCACGAUCCUUGAUGCGGCGGAGCUUCUGGAGUUUCAAUAAAAAUGCCAGCGACACGUGGUUGGACGAGACGCGUUUUCGGUGUCGACACUCGCAAAAAGGCGUAUUUUUAACACUCGUAUUACACAAGAAUAUAUUUUAAAUUAAUUUUAUUGUGUCGUAUAAACAAGCAAAUAAUCUAAUUUAAACUAGUCUCAUAAUAAUUUUAUGUAGAAUAAUAACUUUUAUAAAAUUCUUUUUAUAUUUUUUGAUAGCAUAAAAAAAUUUGAUUAAAUAUUAUUAUUUUUAUAUAAAAUAGCUGUUAUUUUUUAUAUAUUUCAAGGAACAGUGAGAAGCCCAUGAACAAUGCAUCAUUGGAGAAUCUCCUACCCACUACCGCCUGUUAAUUUUACCUCUAUUUAAAAAUUUAUUAAAUAAUUUUUAAUACUAAAUUUUUUUUUGGAAAAAAUUAAUAGGCUCAAAUAAAAUAGAUUAAAAUGCUAGAUAGUAAAAUCAACAUUUUGAAAAAUUAAAUAGUCGAUUCAAAAUAAUCCAUAGCUCAAAUAAUUGUAUUGUACUAUCAUCAAGAACUGUUUUUACUUUUACUUUUAACUACAUCAAAAAUAUUUAAUAGAAAAUACUAUUUGCAUUGUAUAUUUGAUAUCCUUCGCAUCGUAAACCUUAAGAAACAUCCACCGAAAUUUUAGACUAAAGAAAUUGAUAAGAUAAGUAAAAGAAAAAUAUACCCUAUAGAAAAUAAAAAAUAUAACAUUUAUGCUCAUGAUAUAGAUGGACUGAUAACAUUGCUCAUUUUUAAUUGCCCUUAAAACGGCACAAUAUUUGUACAUUUAUGUUACUAAAUUCUAAAUUCCUACUUUUCAUGCAAAAAAAAAAAAAAAAUUGGGGGCAACUUUAAUUCGGUGUAAUAAAUGGGCACUUUUUUUUCCUACAGAUUCUGGUGAAAUAUUAUUAUCCGAAGAGCUUUUGUUGCUGACUUAUCAAGUGAAUAUAUAGAUACUAACAAAAAAAUUAAUAUUUUUUGUUACUAAAAUUCUCUCAAUAUCUCCUCCUUGCACUCUAAAAAGAAACUAUUUUUGGACUCAUCAAUAUACAUAUACGCGACAUUUAUGUCCCCGUUCUUCGCAUCAAAUAGUUAUCAUUACAAACACUGGAUAUUAGAUAUUGCGCGUAUUUAUUUGUGCAGUGUAGUAGCUAGUACGUUAAUAAGUAUCUAACUGAGGAGUACGUUCACACGUGAAAUUCAAUGGAAUUGAUCAUGGGCUACCCACCUCUGUAAACAUAACUCAACCAUGCAACUAUUUGAAUAAAUUAGUUUGAACUUGCUUAGCAAAAAUGCAAUUUCAAUUUUGCAGCGCUCAAGCACUAAAGCAAUAUUAAAGAGAGAGAGAGAGAGAGAGAGAGAGAGAGAUUUCAAAUAACGCUGCUUCAACGAAAACUUAAAUUUUUUUUUGUGGUGAGGAGCAACACUUACUAUACCUAUUAAUUAAUAUUCAAUUAGUCAAAAAAUGCAAACCAAUAGGAAACAAUUUAGGAAUAUAUUUAAUAAAUUAAUUGCAUGUAAUGCUCUGAAUCUCUGUUGGCGAGCAUUUAUGUAGAUUGUGUAUUGAACACUAUAUAUCCUUGAUCUUACUGGAAUAGGUUGUACUCUUAUACGUAUAGAUGUACUUUUAGCCCAGUGAUAGAUCUUUCGAUACAUUGAUUUGACAUUAACUGAUAUAUAUAUAUAUAUAUAUAUAUAUAUAUAUAUAUAUAUAUAUAUAUAUAUAUAUAUAUAUAUAUAUAUAUAUAUAUAUAUAUAUAUAUAUAUAUAGAAUUAUGCUAUUAUACUAUUAAUAGUAUAAGCCCUUGGUACUAUUGAGUUUUCGGCCGUUGGAUGAAAGGAUGUGCGGUUAGGAUGAUAGCGAUCCCCGGUUAAAUUGAUAGUGGUCCCCUAGGGUUGAGUGGGUGCAUGGUUGGUGAAUUAUGCUAUUAUACUAUCAAUAGUAUAAGCCCUUGAUACUAUUGAGUUUUCGGCCGUUGGAUGAAAGGAUGUGCGGUUAGGAUGAUAGCGAUCCCCGGUUAAAUUGAUAGUGGUCCCUAGGGUUGAGUGGGUGCAUGGUUGGUUUAAUAGUAUAAUAUAACGGAUGGAAAUGAUCAAAAGGUAGAUUUAAUGGUAAAAAACUCAAUAGUACUAAGAACUUAGUACUAUUGAUAUAUAUUGUGUGUUUGUGUGUACGUAUCAUUCAAAUACAUCCCUUUUGAUAAUAUAUAAUAUCUAAAAAAAUUUGAAAGCACUUUAGAGCUCUCUUGAUUUCACACAGCAGUGAGGAGAAUCCCACGCAAAAAAAUAAAAAAAAUAAAAAAAAACCCUUUAAACUGCUUUCAAAUUGCUUCCUCGUAGGACCUUAAAGUUUAGUUGAUGGCUUCUAUCCUCAACCCUAUGGGUCCCACAUUAUGUUAACUGUAUAUCUCUUAGGGCCUGUUUGGCCUACCUUCUGAAAAAGUAAUUUCUGAAAAAGUGAUUCUGGUUUGGAAAAGUAAUUUUGCUUAAAAGCUAUAGAGCGUUUGGCGGAGUUUAGAAAAAAUUGAUUUUUUCUGAAGUGAUUUUAAAAAGCUGUUUGGCAAAUUAAAAAUUUUGAAAAGCUGUUUGAAAAUAUAUUUAAAUUUUAAACUUUAAAAUUUAAAUUUUAAAUUUAAAAUUUAAAUUUAAAAUUUAAAAUUUAAAAUAAUUAUGAAAUUUAAAAUAUAAAAUUUAAAAUUUAAAAUAAUUAUGAAAUUUAAAAUAUAAAAUUUAAAAUUUGAAUAUUUAAAAUAUAAAAUUUAAAAUUUGAAUAUUUAAAAUUUAAAAUUAAAAAUUAAAUUUUUAAAUUUUAAAUUAUAAAAAUUUUAAAUUUAUAAUUUGAAGAUUAAAUUUAUAAAUUUUUAAUUUAAAAUUUGAAAUUUAUAUUUGAAGAUUAAAAUUUAUAAUUUAAAAUUUAAAAUUUUAAAUUUUUACAUUUAAAUUUUAAAAUCUAAAUUGUCAAUUUGAAAUUUAAAAUUUAAAUUUGAAUUUAAAAUUUGAAAUUUGAAAUUUAAAAUUUAAAAUUUGAAUUUGAAAUUUAAAAUUUGAAAUUUGAUAAUUCAAAAUUUUAAAAUCUGAAAUUUUAAAUUGAAAUUUAAAAUUUUAAAAUCUGAAAUUUGAAAUUUGAAAUUUGAAAUUUGAAAUAAAAUUUGAAAAUUUAAAAUCUAAAAUUUGAGAUUUGAAAUUUAAAAUUAAAAUUUAAAAUUUAAAAUCUAUAUUUCAAUUUAAAAUUUAAAAGUUAAAAUUUAAAAAUUUUAAAUGAAUCUGAAAAUUAAAAUUUAAAAUUUAAAAUUAAAUUAAAAUUAAUAUUAAAACUAAAAUAAAAUAAAAUUUUGAAGUUUAAAUCUAAAAUCAGAAUCAGUUUCAAGAAGCAGCUUUUUUCUGCUUCUGAUUCUGAGGCCUUCAAAUCAGUUUUAUGAUUCUAAAAAGCAGAAUCAGAUUUUAAAAGUGAGUUGCCAAACGCUCUAUUAGCGAAAAUACUUUUCAGCCAAAAGCGCUUUUUAAAAGCUAGGCCAAACACCUCUUAAUCUAAUGGCCUAAAUCUAGAAGCACCAAUAAUUUGGUACUUUUAAAACAUAGGAGCUCAAUUAUAUAUAUAUAUAUAUAUAUAGAGAGAGAGAGAAGAGAGAGAGAGAGUUGGGCUAGAAUGCUAUUAAUAGUAUUUAUCCUCUUUACUAUCAAAUUUUAGCUUAUGGAUUAAUUUCUUUGAUCAUUUUUAACCAUUAGAUCAAAUAUUAUAAUCUAGUAGGGAGCAUCAACUCUAAAUGACUAAUAUCAUUCUAACCCUACAAUUUCUCAUCCAAUGGUAUAUAUGAAUUGGGCUAGAUACUGAAUACUAUUGAUAGUAUUUGACUCCUUUUGCUAUCAAGUUUUUAAUUCUAGAUGAGAAAUUGUAGGAUUAAAAUGAUAUUAGUCCCGGUUGAUGGUCCCCCUAGGAUUGAGUGGUUCUCACUGGAUUAUAAUAUUUAAUCCAAUGGUUAGAAAUGAUCAAGGGAAUUGAUUCAAAGAUAAAUCUUAAUAGCAAAAGAGGGCAAAACUUGAUAGAAGAUCUAAUACUUUCAACUUUUUGGCUCUUAGAUUAGUCUCUUUAAUUAUUUCUAAUAUUUGGAUUAAUACUAUUACCCUGUAGGGACCACUCAACCCUAGGGGCACCCAAUUAUCACAAUCGAAAAUUCUUAAUCCAAGAGUCAAAAAGUCGGAAGCAUUAAAUCCUCUAUACAUACAAUAGCAUAAUAGCUCUGAUGCUUCGACUCUUGGCUUAGAUUGAUCAUUUUUAAUCUUAAUUUGGAUUAUUAUUAUUAUUCUAUGAAAACCACUCAACCUUACGGGGACCGUAAUAAUUCCAACCAUAUAAUUCUUGAUUUAAGAGUCAAAAGUCGAAAGCGUCAAAUCCUCUUACUUCCGAUAGUAUAGUAAAUUUAUACUAUAUAUAUAUAUAUAUAAUAUAUAUAUAUAGAGAGAGAGAGAGAGAGAGAGAGAGAGAGUCCGGUUACUAUACUCUUAUGAGUAUAGAGCCUUUUGUACUGAUAAAUUUUUUACUGUUUGAUCUACCCUUUAAUCAUUUUCAACCGUUAGAUUAUACUAUUCAAUUAACCACCCACUCAACCCUAGGGGGCCCACUAUCAAUCUAACCGUAACCACUUUCAUCCCAACCGCAUAUUUUUUUAUCUGAACGGCCAAAAAGUUAUGAGUACAAAGGGGUCUAUACUCAUAUGAGUAUAGUAUCCCCAGCUUAUAUAUAUAUAUAUAUAUAUAUAUAUAUAUAUAUAUAUAUAUAUAUAUAUAUAUAUAUAUCCUUGUGCAUUAUCUUAAAUUUUACAUUUAUAACAAGCGUAGCUGGAGCUGGAGCCUGGACGGGGGCAGAGAAAAUGGCCAGGGGGGUAAGGGGAUCACAUGUUGGACAUAAAAGUAUGGGCAAUAGGCAUUAGCCCAUCUAGGCUAGAACAAUAUAUAAUUAAUGACCCCAUUCAACUUGCUCCUAUAUAUUAUUUUCCUACCUACUAUAUGUAUAUAUUAGCUCAUAUAUAACUCAUACUUCGUAAAUCAAUUUGAACUUUUUUGAUUGAUGCAUUUAUGAGUGUCUCUCAAAACCUUCUUCUUUUUUUCCUGUGUUUAGAAUGGCAGGUUGGAUUUUGGUGAAGAUCAGGCAUGAGCCUAGAAUUUUCGGGUCGGUUUCGGGUUUGCCCUCAACUCCAUUCUGAUCCGGAUUGCUGCGUAGGUAGGAUUGGUCGGGUUGAUGCGUGGGGCUUGAUCGGGCUGACGAGUUGACAAGUUUUGAUUGCAAUAUCGCGAUGCCGUGUUGAGUUUGGUUAGGAUGAUGGGUUAUGCGGAAUUUGGUUUGCGAAAUCUAAUGGAAUCAUAGUGUACUGGUUAGGUUGGUCAGAUUAAUUGGUAAGCUAUUUACACGAAAGACUCGUUUGGUAUUGAAAAUAGUAUAAUGCUAUACAGGAAAAACAAUAAUUGCCUAUAUACCUUUCAAAACGUCGUUUGAAAUAUUUUAUUUAUCUCUAUUCUUUUUAUGUUAUUCAAAUAUUAGUGUUUGUCAAGUCAUUUUGGGUUAAACUUGAGUUAAUUAAGUUUCUACCAUAGUUAAAAAAUAAUAAAAAUAUCUAUUUUGUCCAUACCUUGAGGAUAAAUAAAACAAAAUUAGUGAUGAAAAAAGAAUAUAUUUGAAAAGGCAAAAGGUCAAAAUAUUUUUUUGGCUCCUAACUUAAGGGCAAAUAAAAAAAAGUUGUUGAUGAUAGAAUGACAUAUUUGAAUUUUAAAGUGCAAAAUGAUAAUUUCACACAAAUAAAGGAUAAUUCUAAUAAUUCACUAAAAAAAUUUAACUCUACAAAUAUAUUUGAAAGAACUUGAAACCUUAAAAAGAUAUUUUUAAUACCAGCCUUCUAAUAUGAUUCUAGCGUUUAGAAACACCAAACUUUUGAUGUUAUCAACUUAUUGGCUCUUAAAUCAUGUACAAUAGUAAAACCCCACCAUGAGUCACGAUGAUUAAUUUUCGAUUCAGUGGCCAAAAGAGUUGGUCUAAUAAUUUGACAAUUAAUUCCCACCAAACAUUUGGUAUUUUUUAAAGCAUUUCACUUCAACACAACUAAUAUAGUAUAAGAGUAUAAUAUUUUAUGUAACAUUAUAUAUUCCACAGAUUUUUAGUUCGCAAGCUCAAUCUUGUGACCCGGAGACAAAAAGUUUUGAAACAUUAACGCACUUUUUCCAUUGAUCCAUCCACUUUUGCUAUUAAUAUAUUGGCACCUUUUAUCUGAAAACAGAAUCCACCGAGCUAACCAGGAAAAAAUAAGGAAAAAAUUCAGAAACCCCCCCUGUAGUUUUAUACUUUCUCACUUUAGUACCUUAUAGUUUAAAGUGUAUCAAUUUAUUUUUCUGUAAUUUUGUUUUUAUCUUUUCGGCAGUUUUUUUCUUAAUAUUUCGUUAAAUUAUAUACAAAAAACUCCAGAUACCCAUCUAGAUUUAUCGAAUAUUUACUUUAGUACCCUUUAAUUUUAACUUUGUCGCUAAUUUAAGAAAAAAAUAAUAAUAAAAUUGAUAAUAAAAAGAAAAAAAUAAAAUCACAAGGGGCCAAAUUAAUACACUUUAAACAAUAAAAUAUUAAAGUGAGAAAGUAGGAAACCACAGAAAAAUUUUUGAAGUUAUCCCAAAAAAUAAAAAUAAUAAUAAUAAUAUAUGUACAUUCUCUUUUAAUAAAGCUAGAAAGAUAAGGAAGAGAAAAAACGUCACAUUCGGUGUAUGCGCACGGCUGUAUAGAUAAAACCUUUAUUAGUGAAAUGCUCUUCAACGAAGUCCCAUUGAGGAGUCUCAAUUUGUUGUUAUUUUUUUUUUUAUAGUGACAGCUAAUUACUUAUCUCAAUGAAUUCAUAGUUGUAACAAUUAUAUAAAGUAUAAUUCAAAUUUUAAAGUUAAAAUACCGUUAACUGACUUAAACUAAAUAAAUUAAAAGAUUUGAUAUUUAAAUUAAAAUUUUAAAAGAUUGAAUAUUUAAAUCAAAACAGUUUAUGAUUGAGAUAAAUUCUGCACGUUUUUUAUUUUAAUUUUAUUUGUUCAAUGUGAAAUCAACAAGAUGAACCGACAAAAUGUCGGGGGACUCGCAUCUGGCAUAUAAAAUGGCCUCGUCAUGCACGUUCCAAAUGUGAAAAAUAUCCCCUUCCAUGUUUAAUUCCCAUCAAAUCUAAUGAAACAUAUAAUGAUUCUGAGAAAGAUAACAAGUUAUUCGUUUUAUUUAAUUUUUACAAAUAAAUUAAGUUAAAAUUAAAAGAUAAUUAAAUUUUGAACUUUAAAAUUUUGAACUCCAACAGUCAAAUCUUAAUUGACUCCGUUGAGUAUCAUUAGUAAUAAUUAAGUAACAAUUUAUAUGGUAUAAAUUAGUUUUGGUGAGUUUAAUAUGUGAGCUUACUUUUAGUUUGUUGUACUAUCCUGAUUUUCAUGCUUUUUCAACACAAUAAAUUUACAAAUCAGAUAAUUGUUUUAUCUUAAAAAAAUAGACUUGAAAGCUAUUAUUGUGCCAUUUUAUGAAUCUAAUCAAUUUUUUUAAUCUUUUAUCUGCUAUAAGGUUAAUUUUCUCUAAAAAAUCACUAAUCAAUAGAUGGAUUAUACGUAGUCCCUAAUGCUUCGUUUAGUCACAUCAAUUAAAACAUUUUUGGCACAUUGGCAAUAUUUCGAAGCUGUAUAAUAAUGCCACAGAGCAUUAAUUAGGAGGGUAGAAAAAUAAUAAUACCAAUAAUAUAAAAAAAAGGUUAAUUUUAUACAAGUCCCUACAAAUAUAGUGAAUUACAAAUAUAUUUCUAUAAAGUUCAACUUUUAUAUAUUGUUCCUGUAAAAGUUCUUAUAUUUUUAAAUAUAUUCCUGCAGUUAGAAUUCAUUAGAAAAAAUUAAUUAAUCAUAGAUAAAAAUUAAUGAGGUGGAUUAAUCUUCUUACAACUCUGUAAUUAACAAUUGGGACAUAUCUGAGAUGGCGAAAAGAUAAUUUUACCUAUAAAAUAAACGGUACUUUGACGGUAACAAACUAGAAGAAUAUAUCUGAAAAUAUUAGGACAUUUGCAGAAACAACAUAUAAAAAUUAAAUUUUAUAAAAAUAUACUUAUAAUUUAUUAUAUUUGCAGGAAUUAGUAUAAAAUUAACCAUAAAAAAAAAAAGUCCUGUAGAGAGUUGUGGACGGUUACACAAACUAGUCGGCAGGGCCCGGCGAGCUCAACGUGCACAAACUCGCUUUCAGAUCAUCCUUACAGUGACAGCUCCUCUUUACUUCUCCUGUUUCCCUUUCUCAUUUCGCUUUCACUUUCGUACAAGUGAAUUUCGCUUUCACGAACAUCUCGUUUUCAGCUCGAAAUCUAACUUUUGUAUGACUCACUAAAACCUUUUUCUAAUGUUACUGCCUACUAUUUUCUACUUUUUUUUUUAAUUCAUAAUUUUUACAAAUAAAAUAUGGUGAUGAAUAUCAAAAUGCUUUCUAAAGUAAAUAAUCUGAGCCGAAAUUGAGUUUAAUUUAGCUUAUUUAUUGAAUUAUGCUUCUUGAGUUAGGGAAGAUGUUUAAAAAUGUUAGAAAAAAAAAUUUCAUCAAAUUUCAAAGUGUACGACAGCCGCAACUUCAAAACGCAUAUUAUAUAGCAAUCUCCACUAAUCCACCAUCCAAAAAAUCCUAUUAAAAACAAAACAAAACAAAACAAAACAAAUAAAAUAAUACUUCAUCAACCAGUAUAAACGUAGCUCCCCCUCUUCUCCCCUCCCAUUUUCGCUUGCACAAUUGAGGAGGAUGAAGGUGCAGUGCGACGUGUGCGCGGCGGAGGCGGCGUCGGUGUUCUGCUGCGACGACGAGGCCGCGCUCUGCGCCGCCUGCGACCGCCGCGUCCACCGCGCGAACAAGCUCGCCGGCAAGCACCGCCGCUUCUCGCUCCUCCUUCCCUCCUCCCCUCCUUCAUCUUCUUCUUCUUCUUCUUCUUCUUCCUCGCAGUUCCGAGCACCACCGCUCUGUGAUAUAUGCCAGGUUCGUUGUUUACAACCUCCAUUUCAGUUGCUUCUCUCUUUGCGAACUCAAUUAGGAUCGGAUCCGAAGUUUUGGGUGACGUGUGUGUGUGUUUUUUUUCUUAGGAGAGGAGGGGACUCCUCUUCUGCCGGGAGGACCGCGCGAUCCUCUGCCGCGACUGCGACGUGCCGAUCCACACCGCCAGCGACCUCGCGAUGCGCCACAGCCGCUUCCUCCUCACCGGCAUCAGGCUCUCUUCGGCCCCGCUCGACGAAUCCGCGAGAAAUAAUGGUGCCUCUACCGCCGAAGACGGCAGAAGCCCGGGCAAAGUUAGCCGAGAAAUAAUGCUCGCGGCGUCGGUGGCGGCGGCAGAGGAAGAGGCGGUGUGCAGCAACAGCAGCAGCAUCUCGGAGUACCUCAUCAAGACGCUCCCCGGCUGGCGCGUCGAGGAGUUUUUGACUGACGACGCCGCCCCCGCUGCCGCCGCUAACCAGUCAUAUCAGGUCAGUGUUAGUUAUCACCGUUAUUAUGAUACGAAACAACUGUUGUUUUCUAAAAUUUUUCAAACUUUUAUAAAACUGGUAUCUAAUCAUUGCAACUCAUCAUUGCUCCUCACACAUGAGUGGAUUUGAUGGGACUCAAACUAAGAUUCAAGCUCCAAUCAAUAACUUUCUUGAUUGAUCAAAUCUUUUUAUGUGACAUUCAUCAGGGAGUGGAGAACCAGUACUGUAAUGUGGGUGAAGGAUUCCCUCCUACAUGGGUUCCGCAAGAACAGUUCUUCUACGAAGGCGUCGGGCUGAAGGCGGAGGCGGAGGCGGAGGCGGAGGCGGAGGCGGAGGCGGAGGCGGCGCUGAGAGUGCCGCAGAUGUACAAUGAGUGGAGAGGAGUAGGAGGAGACAAUAAGAGAUCGAGGAAUUGUUUCUCUAACUGGUGAUUGCUUUUUUUUUUUUUUUGGCUGAUUUUAUUUUUUAUUUUUUCUUUUUUCUUUUUUAAUUUUUUAACAAGUGAGAUGCUUGUGCCUUGUAGUAGAUUCUUCUCCUUUUUUCCCUUUUUUUUUUAAAUUUUUCUAAAGGCAUGGGGACUCGUUCUCUUUUGCACUUUCAUUAAAAUCUAUUUAAUGGGGUUCAUAUGAAGGUUAUUCUUCUUUUGGUACAUUGAUUUUUUUCGGGAAUUAAUAUUUAUUCAAAAAAAUUUACUAUUUUUUAGAUUAAAAAUUUUAAAAUAUAGCUAAAUAUAUGCUAAUUAUUAAACUCUUAACCGACUGUGUUAAUACUUAAUUUUUAAUGUUGGAAUGGACAAAGGGCUUUUGCGUUCAUCAUCUCCUUUUUUUUUUUUCUUGUUUAAGUAAAAAGGUUUUAAUUUCUAAAGGAACUUUUUUAUUUUACUAAGACAUUAGCCUUUUUUUCUUUUCUUUUUUUUUCAUAAUUUGAUUCGCCACAACAUUUAUUCGAGAGCUUACAAUUGCAGGGAACAAUAUCAUAGUAAUUUAGGGCAUACUUGCUUCAUGAUUGAAAUAAGAAUAAAAAAUAAAAUUAGAUUACCUCUGAAUGAAAAAUAUAAUGACGAAUCCUACAAAAAUGUUUAGUUCAUUAUUAUUGGAAUGAAAACUAAAAUGAAAAUCUAAAAUUUUGAGGGAGGGUUUUGAUUAAGAGAGAGAGAAGAGUAAUGGAGGGAGGAAAAGGGGAGAUGUUUGUGAGAGAUGAUUUUGAAUAGUUUAUUUUGAAAUAGGCCAAUCGAAGAUUCGAAGCUUCAUUGGACUAUAAAUAAAUUUGAUCAUUUUCAUUCUAGAGUGAAAUAGAAAUCCGAAUCUGAUUCAUGUAAAACAAACAACAGUUAUCGAAAUCAAUAAAUUUUAUUCUAAUAACAUAGUUUAAAAUAGAUGAAUCAAAUAUGUCCUUGAUUAAAAAAAAGUCAAAUAACAAAGCCGACAAGUCGUAAAGGGUUAGAUUAAAUUAGAUUUAAUUUAGGUUGAACUUGAUUUUUUCAAUUUUUCAAGUACAACUAACAUCGAAAAAAGUUCAAUAAGCCAAAAAGGUAGAUUUUAAUUGAAAAAAAAGUUAACAUGCACAUCGAUGAAAAUAUAGAUACGAAGAGAAAAUUGAGCCACCUAAAAUAGAAAAAAAUUUAAAAUGCAACAGUCAUAUUACUGAUAUAAUGUUUCCAACUAAUCAUUUGCUCCUCUAGAACUCACCCAUUCUAUCAUAAUUUUUUUACAAAAUAUUUGUAUUAUACUUUUAUUUUAGAAGAAAAGAUGUGAUUGGCUUGUAUAUAGAUAAUAUGAAAUGGCCGCUACAUCAGUAUCGCAUCAAUAUUCAAAAAAUUGAAUUGGACCAUAAGACUAAAUUAUAACAAUUUACGAAAUUUUAAUUAAGGAAUUAAAAAUUUGUAAAAUUUUGAGAAUCAAAACUUCACCCAGCUCAUAGUUUGGGGGCAAAAAGUAUAAUUUAGCCUUUGCUAUUUCAUCAAUGCGACAAUUUAAAUUUUAGGUUUAAAUUGAAAGUAACAUUACUGGGAAUCCAAGAGAAUGCCAAUUAGGAACCACUUUAUCAAAUAGUGUCACAAAAUAUCGAAAGGGGAAAAUAAAUAUUAUUAUUAUUAUUAUUUUUUAUUGGUGGAAAAGAUUAAGCAUCCUCAAAAUUAAUUUCUCAUCUUUGAUUGUAGUUUACUGUGGAGUAAGGCCAUGUUUGUUUUCCCCGAAUCAAAGAGACCAGUUACUGUGGUUUUUGGACAUACAUUCUUUUUUUUAUUAUUAUUAUUAUUAUUUUUUUGAGAGAUAGGUAGCACGCUAUCCGCUUCAUUUAUUUCAUUUAGAAAUAAACUUAGUUAGAAAUGUGAAUCAACUAGGAUUCGAACUUGGGUCUCGAGUACCAACCACCAAACCCUUUUCUGACCUAACUCUAGUGAGUAUGCUAGUUUUGUCGUUAUAUCACGUUAUUAUACCUCAAUCUUCUUAAAUCCAUCAUUUUCAUAGGAUCGAUUUUAAACAGUCGAGCCACAUCGCUUAGAUAAAUAACUCAGAAUUUUUGAAUCAUCGAAUUUCACACAAAUAUAGAAACAUUUGACCCAACGUACCCAAGCCCACAAGGCCCGGAAAUAUGACAUAUAUUUAUAGAUCUAUUCAAACCAAAAUAUUUAGCUUGCAAGUAUAAAUGGUUUCAAUAAUAAACAUUGAUCUUUAUGGACUGUACAUUAGCGCAGUUGGCUAAGAGUUUGAUGGUUGGUACCUGAGAUUCAAGUUUGAUGCAUAAUUGCUUUCACAUCUCUAAGCUGAGUUUAUUCUUUUUUUUAAAAAAAUAAACGUAGCAGAUAACUUAGAGCAAUGCUUUUAUACACCAAAAAGAUCUCGGCCCUCAAAUUUUUUUAUAAUGAAUGGUAGAGCUGUCUUUUAGUUAAGAGGAUGACUGGCUUUUGUUGCCUUAGGUACCAGUCACCCUCUUAUCAAGGGCAAACUAUUUCCUCGUAUGUAAAAUUAGUAUGAAGGGUUUUUUUGUAAAUUUAUAUUUUUAUUCUCAUAGUAUGAAGGGUUUUUUUGUAAAAUUACUAUUCAUUUAAACAUAAAUUUUUUCGUUCUGAAAAUUAAAAUUAAAUUUGAAUUUAAUAUACAUAAUUAUAAAGUUUAAGCUCAAAUUAAAUUUUAAAUUCAAUUUUAUAAAGAUUUAUUACUUAUCAAAUUAGCACUAUCUAAUUUGGUAAGUAACAAAAUUAAAUAAGGAAACAAAUAAAUUUGGUAAUUAGCUUGUAUUUGUUUUCUCAUAUUACUCAACUAUUAUGCAAAAGUCAAUCUCGCCCUUAAAAUAUGAACGGCUAGAUUUAAUUUAGCCAGUGUAUUGAAGCAUUCCUCGAUAACUUAUUACCUUUCUCUAGCUGUUGUGGUAUUAAGCGCGCGGGCACACACUUCCCCUUUCAUUUUAUAGCAGUUAAGAGAAACAUUCGUUUAAUCAGCUACUCACAUGGCCAUGUCCUUCAUUUAUCUCUUCCUUUCCAAAAAUGGAAAAAAAAUUUGUAUUUUUGAGAGAGAGAGAAUAACUAUAUCUAUCUAUACCUAAAUAUUAUUAUUAUUAUUAUUAUUAUUAUACACAUUAUUUAUCAUAGAGUUUGCCACGUAAUAAUUCCUCCUUCACCCUUCUGCCCACUCCCUAAUGCGUCGUCUUUCCAUACAUUAUCUUUAAUAGAGUUUGCCACGUGGUAAUUCCUACUUCACCCUCCUUCCCACUCUCUAAUACUUCAUUUUUUCACUUUUCAUUUCCACACGAUACUUCAUCUUCCCAUCUGCCUACUUUCUAAUUAAUAUAUUCACAUAAUUCAUUAUCAACUAAAUAAAUCGCUAUUACAAAAAAAUAGUAAAAUAAGAUUUUUCAUAUUCUUUUUUCUCACUUAUUUUUUUCUUUUCUUGGCCGUGACUAAAAAGAAGCUCGACAUCAACAAUAGCGGUGGAGGCAACGUGGAGAACAAGAUUCGUCUCUCCGAUGUCGGCAGCGUGAUCAAAAUGCGUAUAGAGUAAUAACUCUAUUAUUAUUUCUUUCAUUAUUAUUAUGUAUAAUUUAUUUGCUGAAAUUAUAAAUUUUGCUACAUUUAUACAUAUCUGUUUCGUAUUUUCUAUUUGUAUUUAUUAACGUCUUAUUGUAAGUCAAAAAAUUUGAAAAUUUUUACUUUGUCAAUCUUCUGUCUUCUAUAGCAUCAAUCCGCCGUAAUACGCGGGUAGUGAUGUCAAUGGGUCGGGUUUGGGUCGGGUUUUCAAUAACCAUAACUCGAACCCGAAAACCAAUUUGAAACCUGAACACGAGCCGGACGGGUUUUAAAAAUUCAUACCCAUAUCAGACCCUGACCCAAAACUCGAAACCUGAACCCGAACCCGAAAUAAUGAUUUCUCUUUACCAUAUUUCAAAAUAUAUUAUAGUAAAAUCAAAAAAUUUUAAAACACAAUCAAAUAAUAGACCUGACCUAUUAGGGUUUGAAUUUUGGAAAAUAAAGUGACUAUCGUAUAUUGCUGGAUGAAGAUCCAAUGGAUAAAAAUUAUUAGAUAUUUUAUAUAUAUAUAUAUAUAAAAUUUAUUCAGAUUCGGAUUCGGGUUCAAGCUCGGGUCGGAUAAAUACAAAAUUCAUAUCCAUAUUCAUAUCCAUCGAGUUUUUAUUAAUUUUCUAUACCCAUAACCAAAUCUAUAUCCAUUUAGGUCGGAUAAACUCAUUCUAUUCGGAUUCGGAUUCAGAUAAUAUUUCAGGUAUCCAUACCGAUUGACAUUCCUAUGCGCAAGUGAUUUUCCUAGUAUAUAUAAAUGUAUAGAACUUAGUGUAGACUCUAGAAUGAGUAGUGGGGAGAACCUGGUUGGCUUUCCAAAGAGAUGGGUGCUACUUUGAGUAAUACGUAGCCCCGGAAAUGAUAACCCCAUUCAAUGUCACUAGCUAUUUAUUCUUUAUUGCAUUUUUAAUGCAUGCAUUUCCUUUUAUGAAAAUUAAACGCUUGCACCACCCCCUCUCCAUUUUAUACAUACAACCCCCCCACCCCACCCCUGUUUCUCUUUCUCUCCCUCUCUGAGAAAUAUACACCCAUGGAGUUUAGAAGCUGUAGCAUCAUCCACAUGUUGGAAUCAUGCUUUCUCCUCUUAAUUAUUUUCCAGUUCGCAGGUACAUUUUCUUACACUUCCCUUUUUAUAUUUAUAAUAGAUGGAAAUAUAUCGGUGGUACUUGGAAUUAAUUUUUAGCUUACUUUGGCUUCUUUUUUUUUUCCCCUUCUUUUUUCAUGUAUGUUGAUUGAUUUUCAGAGGGAUAUGAUCCUGUGGAUCCCAAUGGGAACAUCACCAUCAACUGGGAUUUCCAAACUAUUACUGAUGUUUACACGGUACGUUAUAUACAACAUAAACCAUCUCUCUUUUCACAAAUGAGACUUGUACUCAGGGAUUUAUAGAGGAUGAUUAAUUUUAUUUUUUGCUUUCAAAUUGUACGAUUAUCCGGUCUCGAUCAUGUUUAGUGAGAGUAAAAAUAUUAGUUUUAUUCGUGUCCAAGAUAACCUGAGGAAGUACACUGUUGGUUUGAAUUCUUCACAUAGUUUUAUGGUAGAAAAUAAAAAUCUGAAUUUAUUUUUCAUGGAAAGUUUCAAAAUACAGCCCAUGGUAAUUAAGUCAGAUAAAUUUUCUUGACAUUUUGGGCGGAACAAAUAUUUCUUGUCGUAGUCAUCUGAAGUUCUCAGGUGCAAUUUCUGUAUAGGAGAUUUAACAUUUUUGCUACCUUUUUCUUUCUUUUUCUGAAAUUAGAGUUUGUCACAAGUCCAAUUAUUCUACGAAUUCUAUAAAUUUCUAUGUUUAUUCACCUUAUGACCUCAAGUAGGGUUCAUGUGGUUGGUGUGAGAAAAAUUCAUAUUCUUUUACUCUUUUUCUCCAUACUUGUGAAAGUUUUCCUUUUCGAAUAAAUUCCAUUUUUGGAUACCUAUGUCAUGGCAGUGGUUAGGGAGAUUCUUUGUGCACUUUUUUUUUAUAAUCAUUUUGAGGAGAACUGUCUUCUUUUUUCUUUUUUUUUUUAACUUUUGGGUGAGUGAAAGAGAAUAGGAAUUUGUGAGAAAAAACAAAAUGUGUAGGGAGAUUCCGGUAAACUAGUUUAAUGAUUUCUACAAACUCGUAAUUUAUCAGUAAUCUUAGUGAGUUCAGUUCAUCAUGACUUGGUACAAUUUGUACUAAAUAUGUUCAAUUUGAGUUACACCUUUCGUAGUUUCUAGUUUCUAUAACCAUUUGAUGCUUACCUACAAAUACUGGGGACUUGAUUUCAUUUUACUAUCGCACUUUUCGUAAAAUUGCUCAGGUCAUGGUAAGAAUAUACAAUUUCCAGCUCUAUCGGCACGUCGAGCCGCCCGGUUGGAGGCUAAGCUGGGCGUGGGCCGGCGACGAAGUUAUCUGGGCCAUGACCGGCGCGGAAACCACUGAGCAGGGUAACUGCUCAAGAUUCAGGGGAGAAACUAUCCCACAUUGCUGCGAGAACAGCCCAGUUAUUGUGGAUUUGCCCCCCGGAACUCCUUACAAUAUGCAAGUAGCCAAUUGUUGCCGAGGAGGAGUGCUUUCGUCGACCACACAGGACCCGAUCAAGUACGCGUCAGCGUUCCAGAUGGUCGUGGGGAAUGCGAAUGCCAGGAAUUCGACGGUCGAAAAGCCGUCGAAUUUCAGUAUCGGAGUUCCGGGUUACACGUGCAGCGACGCUGUCGAUGUUGCGCCGAGCAAGUUCCGGCACGAUAACCGAAGAACUACACAAGCUCUAAGUGAGUGAGCUCGCAUUUUGAUUUGCUCAGGUGCAUAAAAUGUAGUAGCUAAACCUGAAUCAAUUUUUCUGCAGAGACAUGGCAAAUUACUUGCUCCUACUCCCAGUUCAGGGAAUCAGAUCACCCAAGCUGCUGUGUUUCUCUCUCUACAUUCUACAACAACACCAUUGUCUCCUGCCCUCACUGCAGCUGCGGUUGUCAAUCGCCGAUCACGGCACCGCAAUGCGUCAGGCAAUCUCCAUUUCCACUCAACUCGCUCUUUUCUCCGUUAUUCAGCAUACGCAUCAGCUCAUACUCAUCUAAAUAUAGGGAGAAUGAGCAACCUAACUUCUUGCAUCUACUAAACGGCGACGAUGGCUCGACGACACUCCCUGUCGUGAUGUGCACUCAGCAUAUGUGCCCGAUUCGCGUACACUGGCACCUGAAAUUGAACUACAGGGAGUACUGGAGGGUUAAGGUGACGAUCACGAACUUCAGCGUGCGCCAGAAUUACAGCAAUUGGAACUUGGUGAUUCAGCAUCCGAACCUUCGACGCCUGACGCAAGUAUUCAGCUUCAACUACCGGCCUCUUAUUCAAUACGGCGAUACAAGUGAGUGUUUCGCAAACUCCAGCAUGCUUUUCGUCGAAAGAAGUUACAGAACAUCCGAACAACUGAUAUUAUAUCAUGUCAAGUGUCACAAUUUUCGUGUCACAUAUUUACUGAACCUUGUUACAGAUGCACAUGUGUUACUCUUUUCCAGAUGAUACUGGGAUGUUCUGGGGGAUACAGUACUACAAUGAUAUGCUACUCGAGUCCGGCGAAAACGGGAACGUGCAAACUGAGAUGCUGCUGCAGAAGGAUCCCGCGGAAUUCACAUUCAAAGGAGGAUGGGCUUUUCCUAGGAGGAUAUACUUCAACGGCCACGAGUGCGUCAUGCCGCCGCCCGAUACGUACCCUAUUCUACCCAGCGGUUGCUCCGAUGCCCGUCGUUUCGUUCGUCGAUACUUUGGUAUGUCUUCGCUGCUGCUGUUUUUCGCAUUGCUGUAGUUAUAGAUUGUUUUGGUGUUAUACAUUUCCCUUUCAGCUGAGACUAAUGAAAAGAGGAAGAGGUUUGUGAUAUAUUACAGAAUACUUUUUUUCUUUUUUUUUUCUGUAAUUUGGUAACGAGAGUACCUACAAAAUUUACACAUCGACAACUAAUUAAUCUCAAGUUUGAUCCAAUAGUGUCAUUUCAAGAUCAAGCCAAGUUACAAAGGAAACAAAUCCUUGGGUUUUUUUUUUUUCUUUUUUUUUCCAUAUUUAUAAUCUCAUUUUGUUUUUUUUUUUUUGUUAUUUAUUUUAAAAGUUACAUGCUGGAGUUGUGCUCAAAAUCCACCAGAAUUUGACUGCAACGUUGAUUGCCAAACAAAUACUACUGUGCCCAAUUGUAGAUAAGAGUAAUUUUUUUUGAUAAUAUUAUUUUAUUAUCUAAGUUUAUUUUCAUAUAAAAUUAUUAUCAUCCACCUAUAAUCAUAGUAAGGUACCCUACAGCUAAAAUAUAUAUAGGUGUUUGGUGAGUAGUAGCUGGAGAUCACUAUAAAUAGCUUUAGAAUCAUCUCAAUUAAACAAAAUUGAAUAGUGCAACCCCUAAUAAAUAUAUACCCUUAUCAAAAGAGUAUUUAGCCCUAUUUGGAUAUUGAAAUAAAUUAUGUUAGAAUAACUUAUUUUGUAUAAAUAAUUUUAAUAUAACUUAAAAACCCCAAUAGUCUUGGCUGAAAAAAAAAAUUCUGAUUAGGAAUAUAUGAGGUUUUGGAUCCUAAUAAGAAUAACUGGAUUUAAAUAUUUUGUGACGAUGAUUUAGACCAAACGAAUUAUUAUUACUGGCGGGUCAGAUCGUUAUAACUGGUAUUAGAGCGAAUUAUCAGUCAGAAGUUUGAAAUAAGUCUCAGUUGAGUUAAAAUCAUACAGCAGGUAAAACACAGCUAGAGUCAUACAUAAUUCUAGUGGUGAGUGUGUUCACGAUCAUCGUGGAUGGGUGGAGCGCUGACUCCCCAUAUAUAUAUAUAUAUAUAUAGUUAGGCUCCUAUGCUUUCGAAAGUACGAGAGGCCCCGUAUUUGUACGUUGUUUUCGAUGAUUGGGACAUCCGAUUCGGCGAUCGGUUCCGUUAAACUUGAUCUACGCUAUUGGAACUAUCUAGAAACCAAAUUUCAUAAUUUUUUGAUUUCAUUUGUCUAAUGAACGAGUAGCCUAAAAAUGAACGGCUGAAAAUAAAAAUCUCAUAAAAAAUAGUGAUAAAGGAUUCAAAUUUUAAAUCGGAAGUAUUGAUCUUGCUACUGAUGUUAAGUAGAAUUUUCUAUUAAAUUUUCAUGUAAUUUGGAUACUUCUAUACCGUUGAACUUAAAAAUGUGCCACAUCGUCCGUUAAUAUAGUCAUUUUUUAGACAUUUUGAUCGCUUAGUAAAUGAUGUUAAAAAAAUCUAAAAUUUGGUUUUUAGAUAGUUCCAAUAGGGUAGAUCAUACCUAAUGAAGCCGAUCGUCCAAUCGAACGUCCUAUCAUUGAAAACAACUUACAAGCACAGGACCUCCCGUACUUUCGACAGUACGGAAGGCGGACUAUAUAUAUAUAUAUAUAUAUAUAUAUAUAUAUAUUUCAAAUUUUGAAAUAUCACAAUAAUUAUAUAUAAAGAAUUUUAUUUUUACUUUCUCAAAAAUUUUGCUAUCCAUAAUUUAGUAGAAUAACAUAUUUCAUAUACAAAAUAAUUUAUUUUAUCUAAGUAAAUAACUCGAAUGUGGAAUAUAAUAUCAAAUUUUAAAUAUUUGAUUAUACUUUUUAUUAAUAAAAUAUACAAAUUUAUUGAAUAAAAUACUUAUGCAUUCAAAUAAAUUCUUGAUGUUUUCGCCUCGUUAACUAAAGUUCACUAUGACUUGAUGUGGACGCAUAUUGGUUAAACAAUACUAAAGUCAAAAAAGUAAACAUCCACUGACCCAUGCUAAACACCGCCACUGUCCCACCACAAACCAAAAUUUCUUCUCUGUGGNUACUUUUUAUUAAUAAAAUAUACAAAUUUAUUGAAUAAAAUACUUAUGCAUUCAAAUAAAUUCUUGAUGUUUUCGCCUCGUUAACUAAAGUUCACUAUGACUUGAUGUGGACGCAUAUUGGUUAAACAAUACUAAAGUCAAAAAAGUAAACAUCCACUGACCCAUGCUAAACACCGCCACUGUCCCACCACAAACCAAAAUUUCUUCUCUGUGGAUUGAAAUGUUUUUUUUUUUUUUUUUUAAGAGAAAAAUAACAUGCUAUCUAUUUCGUUUAUUUUAUUUAAAAAUAAACUUAGCUGAAAAAUAUGAAUCAACUAGAAUUUGAACUUGGAUCUCGAGUACCAACCAUCAAAUCUUUUUGCCACUUGUGCUAAGGACGGUCGGUUGGAUUGAAAAGGAUUAAUUGCACUAUUAGUCUCCAAUUUUUUCACAAUUCUUACUUUAAUCUUCAAAUCUCUUUUUUCUUUUACAAGCAAAUUUUCAAUUAUUUUAUUUUAUUAUAAUUAAAUUUUAGCUGUUGAAAGAAUAUUAAAAUUAACAGAAUGCGUCUGUAUGUAAAUUCCUGCUGUUAAGAUUGGAGACUUGAUUUCAAAAAUAAAUUAAGGCCAAAGUAAAAAAAAUACAAAGAUUGAUAACCAACACACACAAAAAAAAAAGAGUAAUUAAUUUAGUACAUAACCUCAUGGGCUAUUUAGUUAAAAAAUAUUAAACAUACAUAGAGUGCACUGUUAUCCUCAAUCAUGACGCUUAAUUAUUUUAAUUAGAAAAGAAAAAAAAAAGUUUUGAAGUUAUAGAAAAUUACAUUCUAUAACAACAACUGUUUAAUCAGUACCUUCUCUUGGCUAGAGAAAUCUAUUAAUCUAUUUGAUAAAACUUUGAGAGCCUAAUUAUUAAGAUUAAAAGUUCAUAUUGUAAAAAUAUUAAAUUGUUAAAAAAAUACUAUUUAUAUAUUCUAAAAAUAAUGUGUAUUAUAGAGUCGGAUUAUAAUAUUUUUAUUAGUACCAAGUACUUUGGUGUUAUCAAAUUUUCUUCUAUUGGAUUCAAUUUUUUAAUUAUUUUUAUCUAUUAGAUCAUAGUCAUAAACAAUUACUAUUAUCCUAACCGCACGUUUCUUUAUCGAAAGGCCAAAAAUCUAAUAGCACCAACUACUUGGUGCUAUUAGAAGCAUUUCAAUCUAAUUCAUAUGUAACGCUUUCAUUCUAAGAUUUAAAAAUCUUUUGAGUUUUUAGGUUUUUUAAACAAAGUUGAUAAAAUAACGGCAAAUAAUGAGAGCCCUGAAUUACCGCUCAAAGUAACCAAUGAUUGAUUGGGUACCUUCUGGAGUACCCGUAGUAUCGCCCAAAGAAGGGCCACAUCCAAAUGAAAAAAAAAAAAAGAAGAAUUUGAAACAGAGAUAACAAUGUAUCGCGCACCCAUGUGAGUGAGUAAGAUAGGAGGAGACACACUUUCUUUUACCGCCCCAUCGGAUAUUUCAGAGCACACAUACAUCACUUUUAAAAAAACCCUUCAUUCACUAUUCAGUAUUCACCUUUCCCCUUCGCCAUGGCUCCCUCUCUCCCCUCCUUCUUCUUCUUCCUCCUCCUACGAACCCUAACAAUGGCGUACGCCGCCACCUCCCCCGACGACAUCGAAGCCCUAAGAUCCUUCGUGGCCGCGGUGGAGCCCGCCUCCGUCCCCGCGGGGUCGUGCCUCAGCACCUGGGACUUGGCCCGCGACCCCUGCGACUCCGCGUUCGGCCCCUUCUUCACCUGCGGCCUCCUCUGCUCCGACCCCUCCCCCGCAGCCCCCCUCCGCCGCGUCACCGCCGUCGCCCUCGCCGGCGCCGCCUACUCCGGCGACGCCGCCCGCGGCGGUCGCGGCCCUCCGUCCCUCCCCUUCCUCUCCUCCCUCGACUCUCUCCGACAACCGCUUCUCCGGCCCCCUCCCCGCCUCCCCCGCCGCUCUACCCCCUCGCCUCCUCCGCCUCUCCCUCUCCCGCAACUCCCUCUCCGGCCCCAUCCCCUCCUCCCUCUUCCCCCUUUCGCCUCCCUCGCCGCUGCGGGAGCUCUACCUCGACGGGAACCUCCUCUCGGGCCCGAUCCCCGGCGAGCUCUCCUCCCUCCGCGCCCUCGCCCACCUCGAUCUCCGAUCCAACAACCUCUCGGGCCCCAUCCCCGACCUCGGCCCCGUCCGGGGCCUCCUCUACCUGCAGGCGAGCGACAACGCGCUCUCGGGGCCCUUCCCGGGCCCGGGGCGCCUCCCCGCGUCCCUCCUCGCCGCGUCGCUCCGCGGCAACCGCCUCGGCGGCGCGCUGCGGGGCGCGUCCCUAGCGGCGCUGCCCGCGCUCCGCGUGCUGGACCUGGCCGGGAACGCGCUGGAGGGCGGCGUCCCCGGCGCGGCGUUCGCGCACCCGGCGCUGGAGCAGCUGAACCUGGCGUCGAACCGGCUGGGGGGGCGGGUGGAGGAGCCGGCCGACGGGGCGUGGUCGACGAGCCGGCUGGUGGCGGUGGAGCUGGGGCGGAACCGGAUCGGGGGCGCGCUGCCGGGCUUCUUUGGGAUGAUGCCGCGGCUGGCGGCGGUGGGGCUGGAGGGGAACCGGUUCGUGGGGGUCAUCCCGCCGCAGUACGCGCUGCGGGUGGCGGGCCUCGGUCUCGGGGAAUGGGCCCCGUUCGCGCGGCUGAUGCUGGCGGGAAACUACCUGAUUGGGCCGAUACCGAGCCCGAUGGAGGGGCUGAAGGAGGGGAGCGCCGUGGUGACGCUGGCCGACAACUGCCUCCUCCGCUGCCCCCCGCAGGUGUACUUCUUCUGCCAGGGCCUGCCCCAGAAGCCCGCCGCCACGUGUCGCGCCUUCAACCCCGGCCAAUCAUCCCCUCACUUAAGCUAAACUUCACUAUUAAUUUUUUGAUUUAUUGAUGAUGAUGAUGAUAGAGUGGUGCUGUAAAAGACAUAUUAUAAUAUAUAUUAUAUAAUAAAUAGGGAAAAAGAAGAUGUAGAAAAGAAAGGAAUUGCAGGGCACGGUGUUGUAAAACAAAAAAAAUAAGAGCAGCUGGAGGUUGCAAGAAUUGUACGGACUGUAGAGUUUUUUUUAAAAAAAAAAAAUUAAUGUAAUAAAGUAAUUGUGUUUUUAAGUAUAGUGGAGCUUGAACUUGGGAAAGAAGGAAGAGCUCAGAGGAAGUACUAAUUAGGGAUUCACAUUCCCUAGUACUAAUUAGGGAUUCACAUUCCCUAGAAACCAGCUAGAAAUUAUAUCGUUUGAUUAGGAAACAAGUCAGACACGAGCUGCUUGUUCGUGUUCAACUUGAUAACAGCACUAAUACAUAUAUUUUAUAUUUAUAUAAUUUUAUAUUUUAUAUUUUAUAUCUAUAUAUAUAAAUAAAUAAUUAUAUAUAAUAUAUAUAUUUUUAUUAUUUAUUUUUUAAUCUAAUUUAAAUAUAAAGUUCAAUACAAUUAUAAAAAAAUUUAUUUAUAGGAACAAAAUUUAAUAAAUAAAAUCUCAUAAAUUUAUUUUUUAUAUAUAUUUUUAAAAUUUUUUUAAUUUGUUAUAUUUUGUGAGUCGGCUUGUACUGAGACUGCUAAUAAAUAAGGCGAAUAUGAAUUGAAUUUUUCAACUAAGAUACUUUACGCUGUUGUUCGGCUCGACGGCACCCCUACCAAUAACUAGUGUCCGAUAAAGAGGGCAAUAAUAAGUGGUGGUGGCCGACCGUUUCUAGAGCAAGUCGCAAAGGACUCGGUGGUUGAUACUCGAGAUCCAAGUUCGAAUUCUAGUUGAUUCACAUUUCUAGUUAAGUUUAUUUCUAAAUGAAAUAAACGAAGCGGGUAGCGUGCUACCUUUCUCUCUAAAAAAAAAGAUUCUGGAUCUGUAAACCAUAAAAUCAAUCUAAUAUAAAAAUAAUAAUUCAUGAAAAGUCUUUAAUAGUAGAGAUAAGGAUCCAAGUCGAGACAUAUGAGAUUAACCGCAUAGUCGCAUACCAUAAUAUCAAAACGAAUGAUCUCAUAGUAAAUAAUUCGGCCAUAAUUUUAACAAAAAUUUUGGAUAAACUAUGUAGCAUCUAAAGAAUUACAUGUUAGAAACCACCAUUUUUGCAAAAGACUGUUGCUGUUAGCAAAAUUGAUUCUAAUACCAGUUACUAUUUGCUGAGUUGAUUAAUUCGAUCAAAUCCAACAAAUCUUAUAAAUAAACUAGCAAUAAUUAAAAUUUUGCAGUGGACCAGGUAUAGGUAAAAUUUCUCCUUACCUAGCUAGGGGUCAACAACCAACUCAUCCUCUCCUGUUGUUUCUCCUUUGCUGCUCACUGCGUAGCUGCUGCUGCAAAGUCUCCUCCAAAAUCUUUUUGUCUUUACCGAUAACAUUCCAAGUGCUAUCACCUCUCUCUCUCUCUCUCUCUCUCUCUCUCUCUCUCUCUCUCGUAUUGAAAACACAUAUAUGCAUUAACACAUGCUCCAAGUUAUAAAUUAAUAAGCAAAUACAAAGAGAGAGAGAGAGAGAGAGAGAGAAUGCAUGGAGUUAAUGAGAUUGCAGUAAGUAAUGGGAAAGCACCACCUCAUUACCUCGAAAAGCAACCCCCUCACGGACCAUUCUUAUCAAUUACCAGAAGCUAGAUUGCUUUAAAAAUUGUGUGACAAGACGGUAUGUUCAGAGACAUGUAUAGUGUUGGUAGUACCUCGAAAUUAAUACUUGCUUAUUAUAUUUAAUCGGAGUAUGUAGCUAUGUAACGAUACGUAGAAGUUGGAGUUUCGUAACGGCGAGUAAUUAAGAAAGGGCUAAUUAAUUAAUUAAUUUCUGCUUUAUAAAUACAGUGAAUGGGCAAUCAAAUUAAAUCUUUAUUGAAGCUUAAUUAUUGUUCGAACAAAGCGAGGAAGUUUCUCUCUAAUGGAUAUUCAAAGUAAAAGUAACAAUUUUAAUCAAACUUCUCCAUCCUGCGUUAAAAAUUAAAUAGAAACAAUAUUUAUUUGGUGGUUGUUUUAAUUUAAAUCUUUAAAAAAUAUUUUUUAUUAAAUCUCCUCUUACCGAAGACGUGGACUUAAAUUAAAUGAAAGAUAAUUAAUUAACACUAGCUAGCUAGGAACCAAAUAGGACUCAUAUACAAAACAUCCUUUUUUAGUAUUAUAUUAAAUUAUGUAAAAUAAUUAACUACUAUUGUUCAACAGUUUAAAACACAAAAGAACCGUAUUUUUAAUAUUUAUAUUCAACACUCGCAUAUAUUGAAGGGAGCGACAUCGCGACAGCAUGUAACAGCUAGGAGAUGAAGUUAAUUGAAGAUGUCUUUCCUGGUUUAAUUUGGUUGGGUAUACAGGCAUGAGCAAUAUGGGUCAGACUCAGAUAUGCUCGGAACACAGCAAAAGAAUUGGAUUUUAAAGAGUUCCAACGCAUCUCUUAUAUAUUCAUCUACACAUUCCCUACAUUUGCAGAAUUUUUAUUUGGUUCCUUGCAGUAAUGGCGUCGUAAAUUGAAUUGAUUGCAUAGGAUGUAGUGACGACUGAGGACAAUGGAAUUAGAUAAUCCACAAUGUUACAUUUGGAAGCUUCAAUUAAUACUGUUCAUAUUAAAUGGCAUGUUUAUCUUUUUUGUGUAAUGCUUAUUUGGUUCUGCUAUAAAAUAUAGUACAUGGAAUUGUUUGAUAAAGGUGUCUACAAAAUAUUCUUCAAUAAAACAUUAUAUUAAACUCCUUCCGUAAUUUCUCUCUAAAGAAAUCAUCCAAAUUGAAUUUCUAUAUUUGAGCCUAAAAAAUUAGCAUUUUAUUCUUCUUCAUUUUACAGGGGGGAAUAAGUCCUGCCAAAUAUUCUAUCUUAAAUAAGAUACCAAAAGUCGGCGCCGACUUCAUUUGCAUUGAUAAAAUCGGCGGCGACACGCCGAACUGCGACGACUUCACAAUUUGGGCCGAUCCGAAUACCUGACACUGGGGAAUUCGGGUUCAACCUUGGGCUCGCGACUCAGCCCGAAUCAUCCUUACUAAGAAGUCCUGGGCCGAUGUGGCCCAUGAUCGUUUCUUAGCCCACUCGAAACUUGUAUCGAUCAAAGGCCCACGGGCCCAGGCAAGUAGGCCCAAAACGGUGAGAAAUUCCAAGCAAAAUCCCGUUGCCGAUACGAAUCUACGGUCACCAAACAACCGCCAAUGAAUCCAACGGCCAGGAUCAUUUAACAACCCGCCCAGUUAAAACCCAUGUAACCCGAUACCGGUACGAAAUUUUACGAUCCGUAACUCUAUCUGUUUUUCGUGUUGGGUCGCCCUCCCACUACCUCUCUUCCUCUCUCUCUUUCUCUCUCUCUCUCUCUCUCUCUCUNAUUAUUAAAAUAUUAUUGGGUAGACUAUAUAUUUGAUCCGCAAACUAUAAUUCAUCUGACACUUUGCCUCUCCAAUUUUAAUUUGGUAUAUUUGUUAGCUCAAAAUCUUUAAAUAAUUAUAAUCGAGUUUUGAUUUAAUUUGAUUGAAUGGUGAUACAUUGUUGAUGUGAUAGCAAUAUAAUAGCACUAUAGUUCAUGAUGUGAAAUGACCAAGAUAGUACAUUACAUUCUCAUUAGCAAUAUGGUUGAUUUUAAUAAUUUUAAGAAAAUAGCAAUAAAUUAUAAUAAAUUAAAAUUUAAAGAUUAAAAUUAUCACCCAUCUUAUACAGUUGUAGUUUGAAAACACAUGGGUAAUCAUGUAGAGAGAUUUUUCUUUUUAUUCAUGUACACGUUUGAAAAGUUUUAUGAGAAAUGAUAUGUAUACACCUCAAAAUAGAUAUAUGAUGUACAUCUCAUUAUAGAUAGAUAGGAUGUACAUCAUACAUUCCCUUUUGAGAGAGUACAGACAGUUUUUAUAAAUUUUAUAUGAUGAAUUUGGAAGGUUAAAACUUAUGUGAUUUUUUUUUUUUUUUUGAGAGACAGGUAGCACGCUACCCGCUUCGUUUGUUUCAUUUAGAAAUAAACUUAACUGAAAAUGUGAAUCAACUAGGAUUCAAACUUAAGUCUCGGAUACCAACCAUCAAAUCUUUUGCCACUUGCUCUAAGGACAGUCAGUAACUUAUGUGAAUUUACACCUUAUGUAAAUUUAUACUUAAGAGUACUUCGUGAUAAUGAGCUAGCGGAUACAAGGAGGAAUUUUAUUAUAUAUCAGGGACAACACAUCAUUUAUUAACAGCUAAUCAUAUCUUUCUAUUUAAGAGAAAAACAUAAUAAGUAUAUUUUUUAAAUAAUAAAUAGAUGAAGUUAAAAAAAUAAUUUGAUUGAUUAAUGACGCCACAUUAGUAAUAUAAUUAGUAUAUACCUUUUUUUUUAUUUUUUUUUUUAUUUUUUUUUUUUUUAUUAAGACCUUAAAUACGAUGAUGGUCGCUAGUUGGAUGGGUCUAACUCUGGGCUAGGCCCAUGGGCUCAUCUUAAGGGUUUUGAGAUGUCCAUAUCAAACGGUAGCGUUACAGGCUAGUGUAUAUUGACUAAACAACAUUAAUUGUUAAAAACGAUACAAAAUUAUAAUUAAUGAUUCUAACCAAUUAGUAAAUCACUAUUACAAGAUAUAUAAAGAAUUGAUUUGUUAUUCACCUCAGAAAUUUUAUUUACUAAUUUUAUAAUAUUGCUAUUAUAGAUUAAUGAGGCAUCAAGUUUACCCUGUAAAAAAAUAAAAAUUAAUUUAUAAAUUGAUCCAAUCGGAGAUAAAUAGCUUACUUUUAUUUAAAGUUAUUGUCUCUUUAUAGUUCUUUUAAUUUGCUCUUAACUUGAUUUAAUUCUAAAUCUUAUUAUAGUUUAAAACUAUAUAGUACAUUUCUGAAUACAAUAGUACAUAUUUAAAUAAAUUAUAAUACAAAAAUUAUAGUGUAUUUUAUAUAUAAAUAGAUAUAUAAAUAUGAGUAUAUUAUAUAUAUUAAUAUAUAUAAUAUAAGUUGAGCAGAAACUCUGAGAGUCAACCUGUCAUUGUCUUACUCUCGAUUUGUUUUAUCGAUUGAUAGAGUCUUCCAAAUUGAACAUUCGUCCGUUACAAUAUGAUCUAAACCAUUUAAACGUCACCUAAAAAGUCAAAUUUCACCGCACUUCUCGAUAUUUGUUUUAUAUCCAUGCUAUGAGUAAAAAAGUGGUUAAGGGGUUAAUGCGAAAAUGAUAUCUUUAAAAUGAUGAUAGGAUCUUGUAUAGUCAGAUCAAAGGUAUAGUAUUCUUGUUUGUAACAUACGUUAAAGAAUUUCUAUACAAAAAUCAAUGAUUUGGAAUUAUCUUUACAUCCGUUAAACCAGAAAAAUCCUGUAUCCACAUUUAAAUACAAAUUUUGAAAUCCCUUUAAUCAUUAUGCCAAAUUGUAGUCAAAGAGAUUUAAUUAUCCUGAUUUCUAAACUUACAAGUGGUCAUAAAAAAUCAUAUUCCAACGGAGCAUCGUCAAUUUGGAAUUCUCUAUAAUCGAAAGAACAAUCUCGAGUAGUUAACGCUCGUUUACGUCAUUUCAGAUAAUUCUAGCUCAUAUAUAAAUUAUAUAUAUAUAUAAGUAUAUAUUGGAAUAGCCUGUAAUCACUAUGAAUAUUAAAAACUCAUCUUUUCUAUCAACUUUUUAACCUUUGAUGAUAAAAAAUUGUAACAUCAGGAUGAUAUUAGUCCGCUAACGAUGUGGUUCCCCCCCCAGGUUGAUUGGUCCCCGACUGGUUUAUAGUAUUUCUAAUGCAAUUUUAGCAAAUAAUGAAAUAGUUUUAUCCAAAGCUAAAUCCAUCUGAGCAACAAAGAAUUUUGCUACUAAUGUAGCCCAUCCAACCUAACUAAUACAUAUAUACAUACAAACUGCUAUGAGUCAUUACAUACUUAUCCAUCCUUCGUUUGUUCUAUAGCUUGCUCUUUGGUAAAGCAUCUUUACUUUACUUUUGAAUUGCCAAAGCAUUACGCUUCUGGCAUGUAAACAACAACUAAAGUUGCUACUGACCAUCUCUAGAACAAAUGAUAAAAAACUUAGUGAUUGAUACCCGAAAUACUAUGUUCGAAUCCUAAUUAAUUCACAUUUUCAGCCAAACUUAUUUCUAAAUAAAAUAAAUAAAGCAGCUAGCGUGCUUAUCUAUCGCUUAAAAAAAAAAAAAAAUACAACAACAACUAAAGCUGCUGCUUCUUUCCCGCUACUAUAGUGUGAAUUAAUAUCCAAACGGAAAAUUUUUGUUUUUCUUUAAAGCUUGAGGUAUAUUAAAAAAAUUGUGUUUCAAUAAUUUGUAUAUAACAUUUUUAUCCCUAAUUCCUAUAAGGGCCUGUUUGAUUUCUAAUAAUUUUUUACGAAUAGAACGUAGGAAUUGUUAAAUCCUAUAUUUAUUUUAUAACACGAAACUAACGUGACAUGAAUUAAAAAUAUUUGUGGAUUCAAAGUUCCACCUCCUUUCUUGGUAAAUUUUCUUUCAAAAAAUUUUGAUUUUAAAAAGACUAAAAUGCUUUUUUGCAAAUUUUGUUUCUAUCCCCAAAAUUUAAAUCGGGUACCAAAAAAAAAUAAAAUUAUGAAUCCUCUAAAUGUAUAAAUAUUUAAAUAGAUUUUCGAUUGAAAUACCAAUAACUUUUACUGUAAAAUGAUAUAUAAUAUUAAUCUUUAUACAUAAGGAUAUUGAGGUAAUUUUCUUAGAUACAGCUGGUUGCAAAUUUUUUUUCAGGAUAUAUAACCUACAACUAGGAUCCGUUAGAAAAAUAUAAUUAAUCAUGAGUAAAAUAUAUAAUCCUAGAUAGUGAAUAAAUUAAAUUGACAUUUUUACCCCUCUUAUAUUAUUGGGUAAAAUAUUUUUUGGGAGGAUAUUUAUACAUAAUUCUAACAGUUGGGGCUUUUGGAGGAAUAUAAUUAUAAGAACAAAAAUGUCAUUUUACUUAAUUGUUAUUUUAUAAAUAAACAGUGCUCUAAUGUUAACAAACCACAGAAGCAAAUAUAAACAUUACUGAACUUUGUAUGGAUAAAAAUAAAAAGUUAAACUUUAUUAAGGAUAUAUUUAUUAUUCAAUAUGUUUACAGGGAGCUGUAUGCAAUUAACCUAUUUUAUUAAUAUAGUUGAAUAAUUUUUGCAUCGAACACACAAGACCGAUAUUUUAUCAUGAAAAUAGAUUUUUCAAAAAAAUUAAUUUUCAGUGGAAAAAUUUAAAUUCCGCAAACCAAAUAUGCCCUCAAAAAAAAAAGAAAAAAAGAAAAAAAAAGAAAAAGUUAUGGCCAACCGUGUAUCUCAUGAGGCCUUGAACGACACAAUCCAUCUAUUGUACAAAUUAACCUUAUUAAUCAAUAUCCUGUAUAUAUUUUGCUCUAAUAGGGUUACAUUUUGGAUUUUUUUUUUUUUAACAAAGAUAGUUCAUGUUCCAAUAAAGCGAAUCCAAUUUUUUUUUUUUCUUUUUUCUUUUUCUUUCUUAUUUCCCUUCUAUAGGGAAUGGAUCUUUUUUUUUUAAUCUAAAUAUGUGUUUUAGAGUAAUAUUUACCCAUAGAAUAAGGUAGGCCAUAGUACAAAAAUAAUAGCAUCUUGUACCGUCCAUCACUGGUUGAAUGGCACGGAAAAAGGAAGGUUCCUGAUUUGUUCUACACGCUAAAAUGCCACCCAAAAAAAGGACACCGGAUUACCUCACGUUUUGUUUUUUCCUUUUCUUUUUGGAUAAUUUACCUCCUUAUAAUUAAUUCAUAGUUCUCACUUGAUUUUGAAUACAUAUAUUCUCAUAAAAAUUGAUGAUAGAAUUUUUUUACAUCAUACUUUCUAAUCGUGUCUAACAGGCACUCUUCAUAAUUCUAAACAAAAUCUUAUCAAAUUAAACAGGUGUAAUUUUGUUAGUUUUGUAAAGUAAAUUGAGAAACAAAUAAGUGAAUUCGCAACUUCUUACCCUCGGAUUUCAGAUUGUGCGAGAUCCAUACAGCACAUGCCAUUGGCACGUUUAACAAAUGUAGUGUCACACAUUUUGCGCUUGUUUAAUUGCCCCCCUUCUUGUAUUAAUACAACUGCAGCUUCCUAUAGAAGCAUUUUACAAUAGAAACUUCACCAAAUCCAUGCACACAGUAGACAUGGAUGAUGCUAGAGAGUUUUUCACUUAGGAGAAGCACCAAAACCUCUCCUCCUCUCAAUUUUUUGGGGGAUCUCAUCUUAGAUGGAUUCGAAAGCAAUUUUGGCAUCCAACACUUCAUACUAUUUGAACACUCCAGGAAGGAGAAAGGCUAAGUUUAACGUCGCGAAAGGUUUAGCCAUCCGUUCCCUAGUUACAAAUAGGUCUUUGGGCUCUCCAUGCGCUCCUCUCUCGACGUUAUUACAACGACAAAAUGUUCGCGCAGAUGCGAAAGAGAGAGGGGAAUUCGGUGGCAAUUCCUGCGGGAGGGCCGACUUCAGUGAGAAAGGAAGCGAGAUGUUUUGGGUGCGCUUCUUGGGCUUCCAUUCAAAGGGCGUGCAAUCGUUUAUUACCAUGUUAACACCUGACCAAGUAAGUUAUUCCGCUAAUUCUAUAUGAUUAAUAUGAUAGAAAAUGAUUCAGAAAUUAAUCUUAACAAUAUCCAUAGAUAAGACGAUACUUCAUGUUUACAAGUACAAACAACUUAAUUCGACAUGAUAUUUGCAGAACCAACCUGCUCUCCAGGAAGAUACAUCGUCAGGCGACGACUCAUCGGAAGAAAGCAGCAGCGACAGUAGUGAUGAAGAAGAGUCAUCAGACGAAUCAUCAUCCGAUGACGAAGAAAGUGAUAGCGACAACGACAAAGCGAAGCCUAUAAAAAAGCCUGAAAAGCCUAAAAAGCCUGAAAAGUAGGAGGCUUAAGAUGACGUAGUUUUGAGUUUUUCUCUGCAACGCGAGUGCCCUUGCUAAUUUGCUUUUCAUUUAAAUUCAGACCCUCAUAUGAAUUUACGCACUUAAUAAGGUGUUCUCAUAUCAAUGUUCUGGGAAUGCAUUAUUAGAUUUUUCAUUGGAUCCACUGAAUCAGCGCGAUAUCUUAGUCUUAGAUUCCCUAUGCAUUUUAUGAACGAUUACUUUGAAAACUUUACGAUGAUUUGUCGAGUAAUAAGUUACAACUUAUCCAUGAAUAAUCUGUUUCAGUGACCAACUUUCCGUUUACUUGAACUAUUGAUUUAACUUAAAGUGAAAUAUUUGUCUGAUUUUUUUUUCUCUCCCUGAGACUAUAUGACUACUUAGGCAAUCAAUUUUUGAUUCGAUGUUGUUGUAUAACUAACCAAAUUUGAGACACUUCUCCUUUAAUCAACAAUAUUAUUUCUAUCAGAACAUAUUAUCAAAGCAGAUAAAAGAGAAGGAAACAAGAAAAGUACAAUAAGAGACCAUUUAACAGGAUCAUCCUUACAUCUUAUAGGGUUUGUGACCUGGUUUAUUUCCACAACAUAUUUCACUAAUUAUCACAAUAUGUAUAGCAAAUAAUAAUACCACAACAACAAAGUGAACCUCUUAGGGCUCAUCUUUGCCUCACACUUAAACCAAACAAACACCACACCAUAUCUAUACGUCUUAACAAUUCGUUUUGAGCAAAGCAAAACGAGGAUUAUUGCAACACUAAUCAUUAAUUACCACCAUGAUCAUAAUUAAUAAAUAGAUAAUGUAACUGCAUGAUCACCUCACCAUAGCAUUUGGAUUUAGCGGCGGAAACUCCGCACCGGGCGCACCGUUUCCCCGUUCUCGUCCCUCAGCUUCACCGCAGUGUAAACGGCCGCGCCAGUGAUUGCACCUGCUGUCGGGGCCGCCAGGUAUAUCCAUAUCUGCUUGUAGUUCCCCGCGGCCACCGCGGGCCCUAAUGUUCUCACCGGAUUCAUUGAUCCCCCACUCGAUGGCCUAAUUUCGAUUUACAUAAAUAAAUCAUGAUUAGAAUGCUAUUAAAAGAGAGGAACACUAAUCAUUAAUUAUUUCGCUAAUUACUAACCCCGCGAUAAGUAUGUUAAGCAUCACAGUUGCUCCCACCGCUAUUCCAGCUAAUUCCCCUACCUGAAUAAUUUUAUCCGCAAAAUGUCAUUAGUCCAAUCGAAAGAAAUUAUUAAAAAUAAAUUAUAACUUUUUAUUUUGGUCACAUCACAUCAACUUAGUGUGCUGUUUAAUCCAAAGGACUUGAUUGAAAUAAUUUACGAGGAAUCAAAAUGAACGUGUGGGUAAACAUUGGAAAGCGAAAAGUAGUUAUUUUGGGAUUAGUACCGCACGAGUAUCGGUGGCGACGGCGGUGACGACGAAAAGGAGAUUGAAGGUGAUGACGAACUCGAUAAAGAAAGCUUGGGUGGUGCUGACGGAGGGGACGGUAACGCCGCCGGAGAGAAAGGGAUGGUAGAUGCCCUUGAGGGCGAACGAGGCGCAUAUGGAGGCCGACACCUGCGCGGCGAUGUACGCGGGGACCUGCACCCAGGGGAAGUGGCGGAGCACCGCGAAGGCGAUGGUGAGCGAGGGGUUCAGGUGGGCGCCCGAGAUGUGGCCCGUCGACAGAAUGACGAUCAUGACGGCGAGCCCCGCGCACGCGGCAUUGCCGAUCAACGUCUCCGCGCCGUUGUACUUCUGGUUCACGAUCGGCGCCGCCGUCGCGCCGAAGAUGAGGAUGAAGGUGCCCACGAACUCAGCUCCUAACUGCACUCCGUGAGCGUGCAUAGAGACAAAACCAACACAUGAUUUUAUAAGACCAUUUAGAUUGAGUUUCGAAUCAUGCUAGAGCCCUAAACAUUAAUUGAUAGCUAUAUUGAAAUAAAUCAGCUGUUCAAAAAAAAAAACCAAAAAAGAAUCUGGAUCAAGUUGAAUACACUAAAAGCGGUGAUUAAUAACCGAUUCGUGACUUAAAUUUGAAAUAUUGCUGUUGCUUAGGAUUGCUAAGUCAAAUAGCGUAGUUUAAAAAUACACAUACUCANCGUUAAAAAUUAUUGAUUUUGAAUCCUUUCGAUUGCAAGGUAAAUGAUAUCGAAAAAUCGCAAAAAUUAUUUUCUAGAAACUUCAAAUAAACUAGAUCAAGUUUAACGGAGCCGAUCAUCGAUUCGGAAACUCCAUCAUCGAAAAUGGCUCAGAAGCAUAGAGGCCUGCGUGCUCCUGAGAGCACAGCAGCCCUGCUCUAUAUAUAUAUAUAUAUAUUGUACUACUUACUUAAUAAGAGUAGAGAAUCUGAUCACACCAAUUUAAUUAGUAAUAAAGAAAAUGAGAAAAAAAAGGGGAAAAAAACAAGGGUGACCCAAUAAGAAUCAAAACUUGUGAACUAUGUGGAUUGUGGAACAUGGAGGUGACAUCAUUGACAGGUCGAGAAAGGUCUAAAAGUCUAAAAUGGAAGCACAUAAGAAACAAUUUAGAUUGCGUUAUUAAAUACCAAAAUGGUAAGAUGAUGCUCAACUAAAUAAAUAAAUAACGGUGCAGUGAUUAGUUGCACGGAAUCGAGUGAAGCUGUAAACUGCUUUUAAUAUCUUUAUUUAUUUAUUUAUUAUCCAGAGAGAAAAAGGCACGGCUUCUUAGGUGCACCCGAACCAAGACAAAUACUACAUUCGACUUCCACCAGAAUUUGCGAGAACUAGUUUCGAUUGAUCAAAUUGAAUUUUUCUUAUAAUUUAUAACUUAAUUUGAUCCGUUCAAUAAAUUUGAUCUGUCUAUGGUAAAAAAUAUAUUUGGUAAUUCUAAAUACAUAGAUAGAGUAAGUAUGUUUAUUAAGUCCGAUUUAUUUAACUACGUGAACACUGAUCAGAUUCAAUGAAUACGUUCUCUUAAUUACGACUUGCAUUUAAAUUCUAAGUUCACAAGCUAGAGUGAUGUUACCCUUCCCAAUUAGAUCUCAAACACUUGCUUCUAAUACUUGUUUUAGCUAGCCUCCAAAUGGUGUGAGGACAUGCUAUUAGAAGUGAUGUAACUCUUGGUUUUGCUAUUUUGGAUAAGGGUUUGGCUCACAUCAUUCACACCUGCUACAUUAUGUUAAUGAAAAUUAAGCGUGUUAGCGAAUUUUUAGCGUGUCGUGUCGAAUUUUGUCAAAUGGUUAGAUCACGCCAAGAAUGCCAUGCGCACUUAAUUUGGAUCCACGCAUGACUGAUUAAUGAUGGGCUCAACUUGGAUGCAUGGAAACGAUGGUGUUGAUUGAUUAAUUGGUUAAGAUUUGAGAACAUUGGUUUAUUCCAGGAUUAAUGACCUAAACACCGACUAAAAAUUAUUUGGCACACCGUCCACGCCGGAUUUCUUAUAGAUUCGGUAUAUAGUAAAUUCCUACACACUACGCAAUCUAAUCAUCCAUCUAAGGGCUAGGUGCGUAGUCUCUACAAUUGGUGAUUGAAAUGAACUUUGUCGAUCAAUCCGAUUGCGUAGACCCACUUUUGUCUUUAGAUGGACGGUCAGAUCAUGCAAUGAGUGAAAAAUAACUUACAUGUACAUCCAGUUUCCAGAUAGUCUAUACCCUUAUAAUUAAGUAGUCAACCAAUUAAUCUCUCCUAAAUUUUUAUAAUCCUAUUAGCUUAAAAAAUAAUUAAUAGAGGAACUUGUCAUCUCUUUGUCCUAUUAGUAAAUACUUUUUAUAGUUUGACUAGAGAAGUUAUUGUGAAUAGAAUAUGUCAUAAACUCUCAAGUUUUGGGAACAGAGUAGAUCGGAAGAUAUUUUACAGAAAGGCGACUUGAUUCUAUAUAAUUAAUUGCAUGUGUAAUUAUUCACAAAAAAAUUUGUUUGUUUAUACAUUAUUUGUGAACACUAUAAUUAUAAUUAUAUUAUAGAGUGAGGUUACUAUGGUUCUAGAAGCACGGAGCCUUCCGUGCUUCCAGGUUAUUUUCGAUGUUUCGACUUUCGAAUCGUCGAUCGGCUCCGUUAAACUUGAUCUAGAAUAUUUGAGGUACUUAGAAAAUAAAUUUUAUUACUUCUCAAUAUCAUUUGCCUAGUAAUUGAAGGGGCUCAAAAUCAAAUAAUUUUAAUGACCGUAGUGAGCCGUUUGCAAGUUUAACGAUGUAGAAAUAUUCAAAUCACGUAAAAUUUUGAUAGAAAGCUUUUUAUACUAUAUAAAAUAAGAUCAAUAUCUUUGAUCUAAAAUUUUAAUGUCAUAUUAUCACGUUUUGUAAGAUUUUUAUUUUCAGCCGUUGAUUUUGAGCCCUUUCGUUCAUUAGGCAAAUGAUAUCGAAAAAUUACAAAAUUUAUUUUCUAGAUACUUCAAAUACUCUAGAUCAAGUUUAACAGAGCCGAUCGACAAUUCGAAAGUCGCAACAUCGAAAACGACCUGAAAGCAUCGAAGGCUUCGUGCUUUCAGAAGCAUAGUCGCUACAACAAAAACGUUCUAUAGCGACACUUUUAAAUGUAGGUACAUGUCAAAAAAGUGCUGCUAGCUAAAAUUACCGACACUUUUAAAAAGUGUUGCUAUAUGUGGGGUCGCUAGAUAUAUAGUGACAGUUAAAGAGUGUCGCUAUAACCUAAAAGAGUGCUGCUAAUUUACCAACACUUAUUUAAGCAUUUAGCAACCGUCGAAACUCUAUCUCAUUGGCUGCGGUGGCGGAGGAGGACAACAGGAAAGGCUCUUUUUCUAGAAUUUCAGUAGAUUGAGUAAAGAGAGAAGAAAAGAUGGUAAUUGAUUUUUCUUUUUUUUUCUUUUCUAUUUGUAAUCGGGCCAAAUAGACUGGGUGUGGUGGGUUGAGCAGAGUAAUCUUUUAUUUUUGGUUGGAUUGGGCUUUAUAUUUAGGCAUUAGUAGAUGUUUUUUAAGUUUUAGCAUAAAUGGGACACUUACUCAAAAGUGUCCCAAACAUGUGUCCCUAUAAUUUAAUUCUGUUGUAGUGAGUAGCCUCACUCUUAUAUUAUAUGUAUAUAUAAUAAACACUAUAAUUAACCAUGAUAAUUUCUUCACAAAAAAUAAACCUACUUUUUGGUCGGCUACACUUUGAAGUACUCUUUCCUCACUAACACCUAAUGUGGGUGCGUAUUGUUCAGGGACAAAUGCUUAUAAACAAAAACAAAAAACAAAAAGUGAAAAAAGGUACCUCUAUAUUAUGAGAAUUAAUGGGUGAAUAUUUUUAUAAUCAUUCGCAGGAAACACUAUAAUGACACGACUAAUAUAGAAAUCCGAACAAAAUCACCUUUUCCUUUAUAUACUAUGUGGGACAAGGGCAUAUAUAUACUUCCGAGCUUCAAAUUUAUGCUAUAUAAUAAACAAAAUUUUGAAAUAAUUCUAUAAUUAUGCAUUAAAAAGCAAUUAUUUUGGAAUUCAAAUUUGUUUAAUGGCUGAACCGAAACUUUGACUAAAUUCCAUCUUUAAUUUUUAAAUUACCAUGUUAGUUUUAUUUCAGUUCCUAAGUUUUGAUUUUUAACUUUUAACCUCAACAUCGCCUCAAUAAUUGAGAGAGAGAGAGAGAUAGAAGCCUCAAUUAUUAGAAAUGUGACGUGAUACACACCAAUUUUUAAAGAAAUAUAUUUAAAAAAUUAUUAAUGCACGUACAAACAAAUUUUGAUAUAUUCGCGAAGAUGGUAAUCGAUCGGUUGAAUGACGCAAAGUUUAAUUAGGGACUAAAAUGAAAAUGAUGCGGGAGAGGUGGAGGGUGGAGGUGGCACGUGCGUGCGUACGUACCUUGCGAGUNAAAAUUUUACUAUAUUUUUCUCUCAAAAAAAAUUAUUUCUUGCCAACAAAUGACUGCUUCCCUAGUUAAUGAAAAGAUGGAAACUAUAUUAUAAUAUAUGUUAUGUGAGGACCGUUAAAAUUUUGCUGAUUGAAAUCUUAAAACAAUAAUCAAAUGACAUUACUUCUUCGGUCCGAACUAAAAAAAUCAGUUAGAUAUGAUGCAAAAUGGAUCUUGUUCUAUCGUUGAUCAGAGAUUAUACCUAAGCAAAACCAAGUCAAGAUAAUAUGGAUCACCCUUUCUUCUUGCGCCAAAGAUCUUAUCAUUUCCAAAGAAACUGGAGCUACGUCGCUCUACCAUAUCUAUACAAAUAGAAUAGUCCAUUUAUACAGAAUGGUAAAGAGGGCCCUUCUAUGAUCAUAGAUCAUAGAGAUCUAUACAAAUAUGAAACGAUAUUUUUAUCCUUACCAACUUGAUCUUGUUGCGCCCGGUAACAAACAUGCAUAAACCAUUUCUCGAAGUAUGUGUCCGGAUAGGCCAAAGUCUCGAUAGUUAGCUCUAGGUCUUCCAGUCAAAAAACAACGUCGAUGAAGACGUAUAGGUGCACUAUUACGUGGUGGGGAUUGCAAUUUUCCAUGAAUUUCCCAUUUUUCACUCAACGAUGAAACUUUGCUUAUUUUUUCUUUUGAGGAUCGGCGAAUCAAAUGAUAUUUCUGUUCCAAAUUUUUCCGCUUGUUCUCCCUCUGAAUCAAACUUUUUCUUGCCAUAAUGUUCAGUUCCUAUUAUUAUCAAUGAUACAGUUCGGAUCCUAGAUGUAAAAAUAUAAGAAGGCGUAUCCUCCCCCUCCAUCGAAACAAAUGAAAUUGUUGCUGAUACAGUACAUAAAAAAACAAUAAAUAACUAAAUUAACCAAAUUUUCCUGAUGUGGAGGCAAUCAAGAAAGCUGCAUAAGUGAAUAUAUAACCCACGGAAAAGUGGGCUAAUCCAACCAAUCUUGCUUGUACAAUGGAAAGAGCCACCGGCUUAUCUCUCCAUCGAAUCAAAUUAGCCAAAGGUGUGCGUUCAUGAGCCCAUGCUAAAGUUUCAAUCAAUUCUUGCCAAUAUCCACGCCAUGAAAUUAAGAACAUAAAUCCAAUAGCCCAAACAAGAUGUCCAAAUAAGAACAUCCACGCCCAUACCGAUAAACUAUUCAUACCAAAAGGAUUAUAUCCAUUGAUAAGUUGUGAAGAGUUUAACCAUAGAUAAUCUCUUAACCAUCCCAUCAAAUAAGUGGAGGAUUCAUUAAAUUGUGAAACAUUACCCUGCCAUAAUGUGAUGUGUUUCCAAUGCCAAUAAAAAGUAACCCAUCCAAUGGUAUUUAACAUCCAGAAAACUGCCAAAUAAAAUGCGUCCCAAGCAGAAAUAUCACAAGUACCGCCGCGUCCUGGGCCGUCACAAGGAAAACUAUAACCGAAAUCCUUUUUAUCCGGCAUUAAUUUGGAACCACGUGCAUCUAAAGCACCUUUUACUAAAAUCAAUGUAGUUGUAUGCAAACCUAGAGCAAUAGCAUGAUGAACCAAGAAAUCGCCAGGGCCUAUUGUUAAGAAAAGUGAAUUACUAUUCUCAUUAACAGCAUUCAACCAUCCCGGUAACCAUAUGCUUCGACCUGCAUUGAAGGCUGGGCCAUUCGUUGAAGAUAAGAGUACAUCGAACCCAUAUGAAGUCUUACCAUGAGCAGAUUGUAUCCAUUGGGCAAAUAUAGGUUCGAUCAAGAUUUGUUUUUCCGGAGUACCAAAAGCGAGCAUGACGUCGUUAUGAACAUAAAGGCCCAAGGUAUGGAACCCCAGAAACAGGCUGGCCCAACUUAAAUGAGAUAUGAUAGCUUCUUUAUGGUCUAACAUUCUUGCCAAUACGUUAUCCUCAUUCUGCUCCGAUUGUAAUCUCUAAUGAAAAAUAUAGCUCCAUGAGCAAAGGCUCCUGUCAUGAUGAACCCUGCAAUGUAUUUGGUGAUGAGUAUAUAAGGCAGCUUGAGUAGUAAAGUCUUGUGCUAUGAAUGCAUAAGCAGGUAAGGAGUACAUAUGUUGAGCUACUAAGGAAGUAAUAACCCUAAAGAGGCUAGAGCAAGACCUAAUUGAAAUCAUUUGUNNNNNNNNNNNNNNNNNNNNNNNNNAAAGAAUUACAAACAUUUAUUUUCUAGAUACUUCCAAAUACUCUACCGAUGCAAGUUUACAGAGCCGGCCCGGACUGCGGGCCCCCAAGUGUCGAAACCCGCUCCUUCGCGUCGCGAACAGCCAUCUUUUAAGAAGCGACCUCGACAAGGCAUCGGAAGCAUUCGUGCUUGUGCCGGAAGGCAUAACGUCGUGAACAACUCUAGCCAAAGUGCACGCUUUGUGUCGCCUGAUAGCCCGACACUUUAAAUGUGAGGGGGUACCCGACUGUUCGGAAAAAGUGCGCUGGCUAGCUCAGAAAGUAGCGAGCACUUUUUAAUAAGUGUGUGGCCCCGUAAUAUGACCGCGUGGGGAUUCGCUACCGAUAUAUACGUGACAGUUAAAGGAGUGCAGCUGAGAAACGUGAAACAGUGCUGCCUAAUUGUUACCCAAGCACCUUAUUUAAAGCAAUUUAGCAACCGCGUCGAAACUGGGUGGUAUCGUCACUGGCUGCGGGGUGCGGGAAGGAGGACAGAGCAGGAACAGGCUCUUGUUUCUUGAGAACUUGCAGUAGUAUUGAAGCUGCAAGUGAGAGAGAGAAGGAAGAAGAUGUAAAUUGAGUUGUAUUCUUUUUUCUGUUGGGCUUCUCUACUAUGGUGGUAAUCGGCCCGGAACAGUAGACUCGGCCGUGAUCCCACCCCCCCGGACACCCGCGCGUCCCCGCGGCGGCCGUGCCGUGGGGUCGCUGCUCCGGCCCGGCGGCUGCAACAGUGCAACAUAGGGUUGUAAGCCUCACAUGAGAGUGAAUUCGCUGUUAUUAUUAGUUAGGAAAUGGAUGUGUGGAAUUGUGUUGGUCUGCUGGGUUAUGUUUAAAUUCUGGCAGGUUAAGGUAAGGAAUGGGGUUAGAGGUGGCGGGGCUCGGAUUACGUUAUUAAGUCUUUAACGUGCCCCUAUAAAUGGGAGACACGGGGUGUGAAAGCUCAAAGAGAGGGAAUGUCGCCGUAUAAUAACAUGAUGUGCUCAUAUAAUGAAUUCUGAGUUCUGAUGCCGCUCAGUUGGGUAGUGAGCUGCAGCUCUUCACUAUUACUCCAUGUCACCCUAGUAAGAUAUAACGACGUAUAAAUUACCCACCAUGAGUAGAAUGUUCUGUCAUCUCAGAAGAAAAUGAUAAUCGCUAACGAUUUUAGUGUCGGGCGCGUUACCAGUGCUGUCGAGAGGUAAACUACUUUACUUCGCUCUCACUAGACACCUUAGAUGAUCUGGGAGGUAGAGCUGUGUGAGUGUGUGUUCAGCGGAACAUUAAGGCGUUAUUAAGUGAACAAAAGACAAAAAACAAAAAGUGAAAAGGCGGAGCGCAAGAGAACAAUCAUAUAAUGAGACUAAAGAGACGAUUCAAUCGGGGGGUGUGAUAUGUAUUUUUUAAUUGAAUCACACGCUAUCGCAUAAGCGGACAAGCCGACGCCAAUUUAUUACAUGGAGACAGCCAGCUGACCCUCAGUAGCAGAAUACCUUGAAGCCCAAGAUCACCUUUUCCGCGUCUCCAUAUGACUAUGGCGUGGGAGACACAGCAAGGCACGUACUAUAUACUUCUGACCGGAUGGGUGUUGCAGGGACAUUUCACAUGCGAGUGAUAUAAUGAACAAAAUGUUUUGAAGGAUAGAUUAUCGGACUAUGAUAAUUGACGGAUUUACAAAGAGCAAUUAUAAUUGGAAGUGCUAAAAUUUUGGGUUUGAAGUGGCUGGAACGUCGGAGAGAAACUGUAUGGAUUAAACUUGCCAGCUGUCUUCUAAUUUCCUUUAUAAUCCAUUACUUCAGUGUGUAUUGACAUUUGUUUUGGCAGUCCGUUGGCCAAGGUUCCUGGAUUCUUACGCGCCGUUUUGACCUCAGGACAUUCUGGCUCUCCUAAUUAAAAUGAGAGAUGAGUGAGAGAACGAUUAUACCCAUGCCCGUCCCAAUUAUCCCUUAGAAAGGACGAUGCCUACUGGACUCGCGGGCUCUCGUCUAGCUUGCGUUGAUUCACCACAAAUCCAAUUUUUACUAGAUUAUAUAUUUAAAAAGCUCACACUUAUUUAAUGACGAUUAUCACCCAACAAAAAUGUUUGGUUACAUAUAACCUCGCUCGUUUCCGAAAGAUGUAAUCGAGCCAUCUCAAAUGAUUUUCUUCCUAUUUGCCAUUUCUCUCUUGUCGAUUCUCUCUCCACACCCUUCGUCUCAGUUGUCUUCUGUGAAGCUCUGGAUCCAUCUCUGCCUCCUUAAUGUACGCUAUAAGCUUCUUAUAUUAAGCGAAAUCGAACCUAUUGAAUAGAUGCGCGCGAGCAAGCGAGGUGGUAUGUAGUUGUGCCGUAUCUGGUCGUGUCACGCUGCGUAACGUACGGUAUCUUGCAAGCUCGAGAGAGAUACAGAUACGAGACAUAGGGGAAGACUCGGCUCGAUCACGUGCGGGAAACCCGGCACAGAAAUAGAUCGACACGAGAGACGAGAGACACUCAUAUGCACACGCGCUGGCAUCUCGAGUAUAUUGCGUCGCUAGCGGAGAGCGAGUCGACGCAGCCCCCCGCGAUACUCACCACUCCGCUGCCGGUCGUGCCUUCGGCGUGCUCCGGCUCGUCGCUGGCACCUGUGACAGCAACACAUUACUUUCGGCAUAAGCUCGUUCUCGUCGGCCUCCUCCAUUGUCGCUAUCGUUAAUACGUCUGACCUCUCUCACUUCUCCAGACAAUAUAUCAUGCCUUCACAAGCAAUUCGGUAGUGUUAUUUUUUUACUCCUUUUUGCAAUCCUAUAUAUGUAUAUAAUUAUAUUUUUUUAGUUGGUGUAGGGAUGGGUAGUUAAUUUGUAAGGGUUUUUGGAGAAUAUAGUACAUGGUUUUUUUGUUGCGCUUCUAUCCCGGCUUUCUUAUAAACUUUCAUGCGGUAUUUUGCUAUGAGAAAACUGGAGGAGAGCUUAGUCCCCAGUUGGAUUAACUACAACCAAAGCGUCUUUGCGAUAUUAAAUUUUAGGCUAGUUAAUGCAUGAUAAGUAGGAGUGCCAAAGCUACAAAAACUUUGUUUUUCUCAUCGGUCGUUGCAUUUUUUUUAGCCAAAGCUUUUUUAUGAUUUUGAUAAGGAAGAGAAAAUGUGACCGAGAAGAGAGAGUUAACAUGAUAUGAAGGUUCAUUAUAAAUGUUGUUUGCUCAAGGAAUAAGAAGUAGUGAUUAGAAUCAGGCCAUAAUAUAGAACGCUUUUUCUUUCUCAUUUUUUUUUUCUUGGAGUUCGAGGGAUUUUUUUUUUUUUUCUUUUUUGUUUUUGGAUCUGGUUGGGAGAGGAACCAAAAAUUAAAUUGCUUGGGGAGGUUUUUUUUCGGAUCUUGUUAAGAAUAAUAGGAGGAAGAGAAUCCAGAGCUCACAAAGCCCGAAGAACCAAAAGAGAGAAAUCAAAAGAGGAAAAAAAUGCAUUAAUACUCACAAAGCUAAGCACUUUGAAGUAUUGAGGCCUAAAGCAUUGGAAAGCUAGAGAGAGAGAGAGAGAAAAAGAAGAGUAGAGAGGAAUGGAGAUGCGUAUUUGGGUUGUUUGACAUGGAGUGCGGUGAAUAUAUGAGAUGUCAGUGGACGAGAAAGUCAAUAGCUAAGGCUGGUUCUUACCUCAAACAAUUAUUUAAAUACAUCUGGACAUUGAUAGUCAAAUUAGCAAACCUACUGUUAUAUUUAAUUCAUCAGAAAUACAUCAUUUAUAUCUAAUGCCAUAUUAUAUUUUCAUAUCAGAAUACAUACAAUAUAUCUGAUACCAAAUGUUUUUCAUAUCCAGAAAUAUAUUGAGUAGAUCGACCGUAUGGUGUGCUAUUAUUAGGAGCAGGCAGGCCAGCCAACCGUGCUCCAAAGCCUGUUUGCCGAUAAUAAAAUUUUCUGAAUCGGAUGAUCGACUCCGUUAAACUUGACCUAGUUAUUGAGGUUAUUUGAAACUAAUUUUGUAUUUUUCGAUGAUCAUUUAUCUAGUGGAUCGAAAGGGAUUUCAAAAUGAUGUUAAAAAAAAAAUCUCACAAACAAUUAUUGAUCUAUUAUAGCAUUAAAUUUUUCGAUUAGAGAUAUUAAAAUCUGGCAAUGAUUAAAUAAAGAAUUUUUUUUAUCAGAAUUUCAUCUAUUGGAACGCUUUAACAUCGUAAACUUUACAAACGCGCACACAUCAACUAUGAAAAAUUAUUGAUUUUCAGGCUCAUUUAAUUACUAGCGUAAAUUAUAUUAAAAAUUAUUUUUUGUUCUAAAGGGUAUUUUAAAAUUAACUAGAAUCAAUUCUACGGAUCGAUCGUCAAAUCGGAAGCUUAGCCACAACCUGCUGCUGAAAAAGUAUGCUUAUCUUGGCACUGGACCCAAAGGAUGGAUUAUAAUUAAAUUUAGGAGAUUGCAGAAUGCCAUCUAUAAGAGGUCAAGUACUCAAAAUUGUAUUCUUAUUAUAGCUUUAAAUCAUUAUUGCAUAUAUUAUUGUUUUAAUUUUUUUAAAAUUUAAUGCCGUGACAUGAAUAACUUAAAAAGCUAAAACUACAUUCACUUGCCAUACGUUAGUUAAUUCGCUUUAAUACGUUGAAUUAUUCGGCGAACUUUGAAUACAUGAAUUAAACGGACCCCUUCCAUAUUUUUCCGAAAAGUUCAGAAAAACAACGCGUCUUCAUUCCCAAAACAAUACAUUAUUCAUGAAUAUUCGCGAUUCGAGAAUUAUUCGCGCCCAAAAAAACGCGCUGUGCGGUCGGCCGAGCGUCGCAUCUCGCCGCCUCUCGUCUGCCGAGCCUCAUCCGGGUCGUCGUCCUCCUCUCCGCCGCCCUGGCGGCCCGGGAGCAAGAAGCUGCGACUCAGAUCCGGUCUCUCGUCCUCCUUCCUCCAGUGCGCCCAUGGCUGGCGCCUCGGGAGCAAGAGUGGCGUGACAAUUCGCCCCCUGCCGUCUGCGGGAAAAGAAAAGAGGGAACAGUACAAAAAUCGGAGGCGUUGGAUUCGAGAUAAUCAUACGCGGUUCACGAGCCUCUUCUGCCCUCGUGGACGCUUGAGACGGAGGUCCACGAUGGACCCCCUGCUCAUUAUUUAUAUUUUAUUUAUAAAGAUAUAUUAUAUUUAUAUAUAAUAUUUAUUUAAAAUUUGUAAUAUUAUUAAUAUUCUUAAAUAUUAUAAUUUUUUAUAUUAUUAAUAGUAUGUUUAUUAUAAUUUUGGAUAUAUUUAAUCUAUAUAUAAAAAUUAUAUAAUAUAUUAUAUAGAAAUUAAUAUAUUCAUAUAUUUUUAUAUAGCCGAAUUUUUUAUUCCGAGUUUAAUUGUGUAGAACGUAUACAUAUCGUAUAAAUCACUGUAUCUGAAUAAUUACCGAAUCCGUUUUUAACCGUAUUUUUAACAAUUUAAAAAUUAAAAAGACGAAUUUUAUCCCGAAUUAUACGCGUACCGAAUUUUGUCGAAUCCGAAUUUUAACUAAAACUUAUGCCACUUGUUCUUAAAUGUUAUAAAAUAAUUGAAAUAUGUCUAAUGAUUGACCAUUUGAUAUAAAAUGAUUUAUCAAUGACAUUCUAGGGUAUGUUGUUAGGUGCAUGUAGCUUAUUAUUUUAUCUUGCAUAAUUAGCACGUAUUUAUUGGGUCGAUCGGAAACUAAAGGGUAUGAACCAAACGUUAAUGCUAUGUUAAAAUGCUCAUAUCCAAUUCAAGAGUUCUAAGCUAAUAGACAGAAAUAGCCUUCAUAUACAUUAUACAUAUGUAGGUCAAGGUUUUGUUUUGUAUCUAAUGCAAAACUAUUAUUCUGAAUUAUUUUGGAUAUUUAGUCAAAUUUGAAUCGCUUCAAUUUAUUGGUCUCAUUGGUUUUUUAUUUGAAUAGGUUCCUCUGAAUUUAGCAUUGCAUGUAGAGAUGUACACCGAGAAAAAGCAUGGCAUUAAUUAUUAAUAUUCAAUAUUACCAAAUAAAUUUAUUAGUCAAUCUAAUUUUUCCAAAAGUAAAAAAAGAUGAAUGUGUUAUAGUCCCUUUCCGCAAAAAAAGUGCUUAAUAUAACUUUUAAAGGACGGUGUGAACAUAUUGAUAUAAUACUCUUGUGUAGCUUAUAUAUGCCAAAUAUUGCUUGGCUUUUAUUUUAUCGUUACUUUUACUUCGCAUAAAAAAUAUUAUCAUUUACUAAUUUAAAAUUAAAUACGACUAUUUGGUAUAUAUGUGAAUACAUUCCAGUGGAGGAUUCCAAUCCUUGGAAUAUGACUUUGUGUCUCCUCCCUAUCAGUGAGCUCCUAAACAAACAAAUUAAAGAGAUGGCAUCUACAAUGCCUUGGUCAAAGCCUAUCUUUCACACGCAUCAAUUCAUGGGCACUUUUUUAAAAAAAUAAAUAAAUAAAUCAUUGAAGGAAUAUCUCCCUUGUUGUAUAUGCAUUCCACAUACAUGAAUGUGACGUUCCCAUCUCAUUUGGACCCACCAAAAAUACAUUAGUGGUCAUGAUGAUCUCUUGAAUAUAUCUUAAAUGUUUCAUUGUAGACACCAAGGGGACAAAGAGCAUUUUUGAUCUUCUUUCUUAUUGUAAUUACUCGAGUAUCUAUUAUUGAGCGUAAAAUAUUAAAAUAUCACUCUUUGGUAGCAGCAUCCAUAGUAUAUAUUUAGCUACGAUAGCAUGCUAACUAGAUUUUCUUUUUUUUUCUUUUUCUUUUUUUUAAAUGCCUAAUUGAACUGCUCUUAAGUAUUUUUAAACCCUAUAACAUGAGUCUAUUGUGGUAAAUUUGCUCACUUAAUUAACUUUGUUCCUUGCAUAAUGUGAUAAAUUAAAUAUUGUAUGCUUGAUUGACCUAGUUCGAAUGAUCGAAGAACAACAAGACUUUGUAUUAUACGAUUCUUUACUUAUCGAAACCAAAAGGUUACGCUGGUGAUAUUCACUAGCUUGUGCUUUUCUGGAACCAUCCAAACACUGGAUUUACUUAAAGCUCAUUUGCCAACCAUUGAUUGGAGAAAAAAAAGAAAUUAUGUAACAAUUUUUCUCUUUAUACAAACUAGUGCACAUGCUUCAACUGUUCAUAAGCACAAGAGAUUGGAGUUACAUCGAUUCUUUACUUGCCUUACUCAUUACUUUUUAGUUAAAGCAUUUGAAACAGCACCUCUAUGGGUUUGGUUAAAAUUUUCAUUCUAAAUUUAAUUAGGACAUAUUCGAUCGAAGGUAUAUAUACUAGAGCAUUUUAUGUUGCUCUUAAGUUAAAUUUAUUCUAUUUUUGUCACUUUUUUGUUGAAAAUGUCCAUGGGUACUCAACUAGGUGCAAGAUGAGAGUAAUAACUAAUUGCUGCAGCAAUAAUUAGGGUUUUGACAUUAUCUAUCACUCUACACACCCUUAAGAUGAUUUUUCCUUCUCAGACUCAACCCGCAUUUUCACUCAAUCUUCUUUUAUACCUUAUAUAUUACUGAAAAUCCCAAUGGUUUAGUUGCGAUUAGAAUAUUAAAUUGCAUAUAUAUAUAUAUAGUAUAGUGAGUUAGCCAAAAUGCAUGGAAGGCGCCCUUUAACCAUCACUUUAUUCCACUAAUUAAUGCUUUAUUGAGUCUAACGUACACACACUCAUCACCCUUAGUGUUGCGAGCAACAUAUAUAAGAAAUUAAACAUUGCAUUACCAUUAGUACUCCGUACAUAACUUUCUCAAAAAAGAGAACAGAAGAACCAUAAUAACAAAAGUAAUCGGCACGAAACCACUAUAUUAAUGAUCACUCAUCAAAUCAGAUUCCUAGGUCAUAAACUGCAUCGUUCACUUUCCAGAGCAUUCCCUUCUGAACGACAUCAUCACUAUCAUAUUUUCACCAUUAGCAAAGCUACCACUAAGGAAUAAAUGGACCCUAUAUGUAUACAUAUAUACAUAUAUAUAUUCCUGCUUGGAGAGGAAGCAUGUUGUUUGUGACAAUGUUAAGUCCACAUGGGAGCUAGAGAAAAGAACGAUUCAGGAGAACCCAACUUUGUGGUGUCACACAAAGUCGAUCUCUAGCUAUAUAUCUACUACGAAUCUUUUCUUCUGUUUUUCAACAUGAGGGCAGUAUCAUCUUGUGGUAGUCCUUUUCUGGAUGCUUCAAUGAUGAAGCUACCUACAAACCAAGCCCUACCACUAUCACACUUGUGUGUGUUUCAAUUGCUUAAAAGCCUUAGUUUAUGAGUUUAAGCAUCAAUUAAUUUAGUACCCCUCUUGUGAAGCUCCGCUAUUCAGAUACGUCAUCCGUUUUAGAAUUAUUUUAAUUUUAAUAUGCUUAACUCUCUUACUUUUUAGAGACUAAUCAUCACCGCCAAAAAUAUUAUAGCCGAAUUAAGAGCUCUCACAGGCACAAAGUGAGAUGGGACUUGUCUCGCUAGUUUAAGAUGACAUUAAUUGUCAGGAGCCACGUAUUAAUUACCAACAAUUAAUGAUCGUCAACCGAGGAGUCUCGCUCCAACCCUGUAUAACACUAACUCAAUCGAGACUUAUCUCACACUUCCGGCUGGGAGAUUGACUUAUACCAAUUGUGAUGCCCCGCUUUUCAGAUAAUUACGACUCUUAAACUACUUUAACGCUAGCACCCUAAAAUUUCUUAAUCCUCCCUUAACGUUUUGGCUUCAUUAAUAGUCUCUUGGGAUCGAAAUGAUAAUAAAAACAUGUAAGUUUUUUUUGUUGAAAAUGAAUUAGAUUUUCUCGAAGAAUGGUAGAGAUGAUUAUAAAGAAAAUUAUUAGACUAUUUUAGUUGAAAUAAAUGAGUCCUUAAUUAAUGAGCCACUACUUGGUCUAUGGUCAACGACGUGGGGCUAUCACAUGAGUGCUCUUUUAGUUGGGGUAGAAUUGUAGAAAACGAUUUGGUAGCUUUUUGGAUUGAAAUUCUCUCACCAAUUCAAACGUGGGGCUAUCACAUGAAGUGAUCUUAGGAUUUGGAGUGAUUUUGUCAGCAAUAGAACGGUUGCUUAUCUCUUCUUUAAAUUUUGAUUCUAAGUUUUAGAACUUUAGUUUUCUCAUCCCAAAAUCAAAAGCAGGUAACAUCUGCUUUUUGAAAUCUGAUUUUGAUUUUUAACUUAAAUUUAAAUAUUAAAUUUUGAGUUUUAAAAUUUUAAAUUUGAUACUAAAUUUUAAAUUUUAAAUUUUAAAUAUCAACUUUUGAAAAUUUUAAAUUCUUAAUGUAGAUUUUAAAUUUAAAUAUAAAAUUUUAAAUGUUGCUUUAAAUUUUAAAUUUUAAGUUUUAAAUUUUAAGUUUUAAAUUUUAAAUUUUAAAUUUUAAGUUUUAAAUUUAAAUUCAAAUUUUAAAAUAAAAUUUAGAAAAAAAAAAUUGUUAUUUGCAAAUAGCUAAAAAAUUUUGCUAAACAAUUUAUGUAGAAAUUUUUUAAAACAAUCACCUUGCUACUAAACUUAGUAAAAUGCUCUACACUAAAAUUAAUUUUCUAAAUCAAAAUCAAUUCUAUAGAAAUUACUUCUCCAACAGCCAUGCCAAAUAGUCCGUGAAUUCUUAAAAUAAAGCGAAGCUUCGACUUCGAAAAUUAUACUUAUAGCGUUUAGGAGUGUACAUUAAUUUCUGCUUUCUACUUGGAAUAUUUGUAUUUAACUGGUGAUCUUAUGCUUGUCAAGUGACAAAGUUACUCUAAAAACUAAGCCAGAAGCAACUUCGACCGUCCAUCCGAAGAUACCAAAUCAAUUUUACAAUUUAUAACUCACUAAAUGAUUCUGUCAAAAAAAGUCAUUUUAUACCAUCUCCUUUCCACAAAAUAGAAGGAAAUUAAGAAUCACAGUUCAUGUAAAGUUGCAACUUCAUUGUCAUGAUGAAUGGAGAACAAAAGGGUCUUACUCUUGACCUAUUGUAAUUAUAUAUAAGAGCAACAAACCUACACUUAUUCCACUUUAAUAAUGUUGUGUAAGUGGCAAAGGACUUGAUGGUUAGUACCCGAGACCCAAGUUCGAAUCCUAGUUAAUUCACAUUUCCAACUAAGUUUAUUUCUAAAUGAAAUAAACGAAGCAGGUAGCGUGCUACCUAUCUCUCAAAAUAAAAAAAUAAUAAUAAUAAUGUUGUGUAAGUGCUCAUAGAGGUGGCAAAUUCUAAUGCUUUAAUUUUGGCACAUAAAUGAGAUGGUGGUUAAUUUUUCUAAUAACCAAACAAUUGGCCACACAAAAAAAACAACCAAUUACUCAAAAAGGGAAUCAACAAAUGAAGGACGGUGGAAGCUUCUGUUCUUGCUCCAGCACUCUCCAAAGAUAUAUAUAUAUAUAUAUAUAUAUAUNGAUAAUUCAAAAUAUGAAACUAAAUUUUAAUUUAUUCAAAUUCAAACUUAAAAUUACAAUUUAAAUUUUAAUUUGAAUCCAUAAAUUUAAUUUAAGUUUGAAAUAAAAUUUGAAUAAAACUUUAUAUAAAUUAAAAUUUAAUUUAAAUUCAAAUUCAUAAGUUAGAUUCGAAAUACUUGAUUAAAUUUUAAUUUUUAAUUUAGGUUUAAAUUAAAAUUUAAAAUUAUAUAUUUAAUUUUUAAAUUUUAACUCAUAUUUUAAUUAAAAAAAUUAAAAAAAUAAAUUUAAUCCGAAUAAAUAUCCAUUCCGUCCGGAUUCAACUUUCAAUCCGGUCUCCUAGGCCGGAUUGAAAAAGAGGUGAUUGGGGGAUUCCCAUUCCAUUCGGGAAUCGGAAUCGGAAUGGGAUUCUCGCGUACCAAACACCCACAAACGGAUUUAUCCAUUCCAAUUCCGAUUCCAGGGUGAAAAAAAAGCGAACCAAACACGCCCAUAGGGAUUUGUU
rnacentral:lncRNA from 1 species